rnacentral:lncRNA from 1 species
UUUUUUUUUUUUAAUCUAAUUAUGGUGUUUAUAGUGCCAGGUCUCUGUGAUGCAGGAGACGGUUAAGCUUAGUCCAUUCUAGUUUACAUGAUAUUUUCCUAAUUAAGUGUUUUCCUUUUCUAAUUAGGAUUUUAGUAAUUAUCCUAUUUUAUGCAUUAGGCUUUCUCUAUAAAUAGAGACCCUAGAUCGUUUGUUUUGAACACAACUAUUAUUCAUUCUUAUUAAUCAAAGUCUUGAGUUUUCGAGCUUUACCUUUUCUGGUGGAUUCCAGAGCUUUUUCUUCAAGUUUGUCGCUUGCAAACUUGAGCUUUCAAUUCCAAGACCAACGCUUGUUGUCUUGGUGCAUUCCGACUGCGUCAAGUGGUAUCAGAGCAGGCUAUCUCCUUCUCUCUUCGAAGCUUGAACAGCUAUGGGUGAUCGACCGUUAACCGAAGCCAACAUAGAGGGUUUAAGAGGUGAACUCGUCAAUUUAAAUACUCGGAUGGCGGACUUGUUGACAGCGCUUAACAAUCAGUUUGCGGCUUUACCCCAGCAGAUUGCUAACGCGAUACAAGGAGGAGGAGAACAAAGGGGACCAAAUCUGAAUCAACAAGGAGAAAACAAUCCGGCUGUUGUGGUACCAGCUCGGGCCCAACAAGGUGGAAACAAUCAACGACCCGGUGGAAACAAUCGACAACAAGGCAGACACAAUCGUGUGGUUGCUGACAAUUCCAGCUCGGAGGAGGAUUCAGAAGAAGAAGUUGUGGAAGACGAAGUUGAGCAGAGAAAUCGUCAAGGAAACCAUGACUACCGAGUCAAAGUUCAACGGAACCAUGGGAGUUGAGGAGUUUUUGGAUUGGCAGAUCGACGUUGAUAGAUUUUUCGAAGUCAUGGAGGUUCCUGAGAAUAAGCAAGUUAAGAUGGUGGCAAUUAGACUGAAGAAAACUGCUGCCGUGUGGUGGGAUAAACUAGUCGUUCAAAGGCAAAGACAAAGGAAAGGACCAUUCAAGACAUGGAGGCGAAUGAAACAGCUCAUGAUGGAAAAGUUCUUACCUGAGGACUAUGAACAGAUUCUCUACAAGAUGUACAUUGAAUGUGUUCAAGGAAAGAGGACCGUGGCAGAAUAUACAGCAGAGUUCUUGCGAUUCUCAGAGCGCAAUGAUUUAGAAGAAACAGAAAAUCAGAAAGUUGCAAGAUACAUCAGUGGGCUGAAGAGUUCUAUACAGGAGAGGAUAGGUUUACAAACUGUAUGGACUGUACAAGAGGCUUCUAGUCUAGCUUUGAAAGCUGAGUUAAUGGAGAAAUCUCCNNNNNNNNNNNNNNNNNNNNNNNNNNNNNNNNNNNNNNNNNNNNNNNNNNNNNNNNNNNNNNNNNNNNNNNNNNNNNNNNNNNNNNNNNNNNNNNNNNNNAACUAGGGACGACCAUUUGGGGCAUUUGAAUCAGGUUUUGCAAGUCCUCCAAGAAAAUCAGCUGUACGUGAAUCUAAAGAAGUGUACAUUCUGCACCAACAAAUUGUUAUUUCUGGGGUUUGUUGUUGGUGAGGAUGGGAUUCAGGUGGACGAAGCCAAAGUGAGUGCAAUCCAAGAUUGGCCUGUUCCUAAAUCCGUAACUGAAGUACGUAGUUUUCAUGGUCUUGCUACUUUCUAUAGAAGGUUUGUGAGAGACUUUAGCACCAUUACUGCACCUAUUACUGAGUGUUUGAAGAAGGGAAGGUUUCAUUGUGGUCCGGAACAAGACGAGAGCUUUGCAUUAAUUAAAGAGAAGCUUUGUACUGCUCCAGUAUUAGCAUUACCGGAUUUUGAUAAAGUGUUUCAAGUGGAGUGUGACGCAAGUGGCGUGGGAAUAGGAGCUGUACUGUCACAAGAGAAGCGACCUGUAGCUUUCUUUAGUGAAAAGCUAAGUGACGCACGCCAGAAGUGGAGUACUUAUGAUCAGGAGUUUUAUGCUGUGUUUCGAGCUUUAAAACAAUGGGAGCACUAUCUGGUUCAGCGUGAGUUUAUACUUUUCACGGACCAUCAAGCUCUCAAAUUUCUUCACAGCCAAAAGGUGAUCAAUAAGAUGCAUGCUCGAUGGGUUAGUUUUCUGCAAAAAUUCCCUUUUAUUAUUCAGCACAAGUCUGGGACACUUAAUAGGGUAGCAGAUGCUUUGAGUAGAAGGGCUUCCUUAUUAACUACCUUAGCACAUGAGGUUGUGGGUUUUGAGUUCUUAAAAGAUUUGUAUGCACAAGAUGAAGAAUUCAAGGAAUUGUGGGUUAAGUGUUGUAAGAAACACCCUUCAGCUGAUUUCCAUGAACGUGACGGUUAUCUUUUUAAAGGAAAUAGGCUUUGCAUUCCUUGUUCUUCUUUGCGUGAGAAGUUGAUACGAGAAUUACAUAGUGGUGGUCUUAGUGGUCAUUUGGGACGAGAUAAGACAAUUGCAAGCUUGGAGGAAAGGUAUUUUUGGCCGCACCUUAGNNNNNNNNNNNNNNNNNNNNNNNNNNNNNNNNNNNNNNNNNNNNNNNNNNNNNNNNNNNNNNNNNNNNNNNNNNNNNNNNNNNNNNNNNNNNNNNNNNNNNNNNNNNNNNNNNNNNNNNNNNNNNNNNNNNNNNNNNNNNNNNNNNNNNNNNNNNNNNNNNNNNNNNNNNNNNNNNNNNNNNNNNNNNNNNNNNNNNNNNNNNNNNNNNNNNNNNNNNNNNNNNNNNNNNNNNNNNNNNNNNNNNNNNNNNNNNNNNNNNNNNNNNNNNNNNNNNNNNNNNNNNNNNNNNNNNNNNNNNNNNNNNNNNNNNNNNNNNNNNNNNNNNNNNNNNNNNNNNNNNNNNNNNNNNNNNNNNNNNNNNNNNNNNNNNNNNNNNNNNNNNNNNNNNNNNNNNNNNNNNNNNNNNNNNNNNNNNNNNNNNNNNNNNNNNNNNNNNNNNNNNNNNNNNNNNNNNNNNNNNNNNNNNNNNNNNNNNNNNNNNNNNNNNNNNNNNNNNNNNNNNNNNNNNNNNNNNNNNNNNNNNNNNNNNNNNNNNNNNNNNNNNNNNNNNNNNNNNNNNNNNNNNNNNNNNNNNNNNNNNNNNNNNNNNNNNNNNNNNNNNNNNNNNNNNNNNNNNNNNNNNNNNNNNNNNNNNNNNNNNNNNNNNNNNNNNNNNNNNNNNNNNNNNNNNNNNNNNNNNNNNNNNNNNNNNNNNNNNNNNNNNNNNNNNNNNNNNNNNNNNNNNNNNNNNNNNNNNNNNNNNNNNNNNNNNNNNNNNNNNNNNNNNNNNNNNNNNNNNNNNNNNNNNNNNNNNNNNNNNNNNNNNNNNNNNNNNNNNNNNNNNNNNNNNNNNNNNNNNNNNNNNNNNNNNNNNNNNNNNNNNNNNNNNNNNNNNNNNNNNNNNNNNNNNNNNNNNNNNNNNNNNNNNNNNNNNNNNNNNNNNNNNNNNNNNNNNNNNNNNNNNNNNNNNNNNNNCCGGACGACAUGAACAUCUCUCAUACGUUCAAUGUAGCUGACAUUUAUGAGUAUCAUGCCGAUUGUGUUCUUUAUCCAGAUGAGAACUCGGGGUCGAGUUCUUUGGAGGUGGAGGAGACUGAUGCAGGAGACGGUUAAGCUUAGUCCAUUCUAGUUUACAUGAUAUUUUCCUAAUUAAGUGUUUUCCUUUUCUAAUUAGGAUUUUAGUAAUUAUCCUAUUUUAUGCAUUAGGCUUUCUCUAUAAAUAGAGACCCUAGAUCGUUUGUUUUGAACACAACUAUUAUUCAUUCUUAUUAAUCAAAGUCUUGAGUUUUCGAGCUUUACCUUUUCUGGUGGAUUCCAGAGCUUUUUCUUCAAGUUUGUCGCUUGCAAACUUGAGCUUUCAAUUCCAAGACCAACGCUUGUUGUCUUGGUGCAUUCCGACUGCGUCACUCUGUCUCUCAUCGUCUUGAUCAUUUGCGGAUCUGUAAUGCAGAUGGUGUCAUGAUCUUGAUUGGGAACAAGAAGCAAGCCUCUUUUCAAAACUGUCUUCCAGGUAUGCAUAAUGCAUGUGCCUGUUUUUUUUUGUUAGAAUGGUCUAUGAUCUGAAACCUCAGAGCACUGUUUGUUUCCCUUCUACAUACUAACAGAUUAUGAUGCAGUUGUUUAGUCCUUUGAUAUUUGUUUUGCUCUCUUACAAUUCUUUUUUGCUCUGUUCUCAAUCUAAAUCACUAACUAUGUUCAACAGACAACAGCUAAGCUACCCCUAUCAACCAAGCUUCUUCUCAUCAUGAUAUUGAUCAGAAGGAUUCAAAUGUUCAUAUAUAUGUAUCUCCAGAACUGCUGGUUAUGUUGCAGGAUAUGGUAUCCUAGAGUAUUAAAAAAGUGGUCUCGUAGAAAAAAAUUUGAUGUUGAUUGAUGCAGAAAAAACAUUGACAUCUCAGUACCCAUUUGUCAAUCUGAAUCACUGACUAUGUUGGUUCAUCAUUGUUCAACCUGAUAACAAAGGCACCAUAAGAUAAGAUAGAGCUACUCUCUCUACCACUGUCUCUCCAGAGAUGUCAAUCUCUCCCUUAGCCCCACAUUAAUUAGCAUACAAGACUAGGAUGAACAAACUAUUAUUUAUAUCACAAAUUCAUCUGUAACAAGGGCUCACACACACUUUCAUCUGAGUAUAUACAUUCCAAAGCUUUUCAAUUCUCCACACAGUUCAUGAAUCUGCUGAGAAAACUCGCGGAAGAAGGACAAGCUCAAUCCAAGGUUACAGCCAAUCGAGUAAGCAGCAGUGUCGGGUCAUCUCUAUCAAACUUAUCUUCAAUAGAAAUCGUUUCCAGCAACACAAAAGAUGACUUAGACUUAGCAAGAUAAAAGAGGCGAAUCAAUCUUUGAGUUCCAUUCACCUCUCUUUAUGGUGUUGAUCAGAGGGAUUCAAAAGUAUUACAUUAUAUCUAGUAGCGCUGGUUUUUUAUUGCAGGGGCCAAGAGUAUAGAAAGUGGUCUUGUAUGACAGACAAAGAUUUUUUUAUUUAGUUUAAUGCAAGACAAAACACAUGAUGCAUUGUACUCUGAUGAAAAGAGAAUUCGUGAAAAAAAGCACGUCCUCCUUAUUCAGUGGAUAAAAGAUUGGUUUAUUGAUAACAAUUAUUGGUCUUUGGUAGCAAAAAAAAUUGCUAGAUUAAAGCAUCUAGGAAGCAAUAUAGGAACUAAAUUAAAGCAUCUAAGGCUCGAUCUUGACAAUAUCUUCAAUAGAUUUCCUAUACUCCACAAUCAAAUCCCUGACCAAAAGAUACAACAACACUAAGGUAAGAGCAAAAUCAAUAUGAUCAAGAUAAAAAGUUGAAAACAAUUUAGCUAACCUUCUUUGUUGAAGCAACUGCUCACUCUCUUCUACAUUUCUCUUUUGGCCAUCAACAGUCUGAUUCAAACACAAAGAGAUCCACAAUAAGCACAAGAUUAAACAGAGCCAACACAGAGUUUGUUCUGAUCCAAAAUGUUAGUAAACCUACCAUAGUCUUAGAUCCUAGCGAUCCUGAAAUCGAAUUCAGCAACUGCUGACACUUUUCGAAAUGGCUAUUCAAUUCAGUCACCUGCAAAUUUACAAUUCAAUAUCCAACAAGAAUGAACCCUAGAAAAUCUCAUUAAAAAAAAAGACUGGAUUUUUAACAAACCAGGGCAUCAGAAUUCUGAUCUCGUGUUCCAUUUUCAAUGGCAUCGGUUAAUUUCUCCACCAUCUGCGUUCAUUAACACGAAUAUUAUUAUCAAACAGAUUCCAAUUCCAGGGGAAGAAACUGAUAAAAAUCCAAUUUUUUAAUUACUUACCGGAUAAAGAUGGAAGUGAGAAGCUAAAGACUGAUGCUGUUGCGGAGUCUGCACCAACUGUUGCUGUUGUUGCGGUGUAUGCAUCAUUGAUUGAGGCGUAUGAACCACCGUCUGCUGUGGCGGAGGCGAUUGCAACGACUGCUGCGGCUGAGGAAGAGGAGGAGAUUGUAACAAGCGUUGUUGCUGUUGUUGUUGUUGUUGGUAUUGCUGUUGUUGAAUGAAGUGUUGCUGUUGUUGGAAUUGCUGAAAUUGCUGCAUAUCUUGUUGUGGCUGGAACUGUUGCUGUUGUUGUUGGUGUUGUUGUUGAAGCAACUGAUGUUGUUGUUGCUGCUGUAUUUGUAAUUGUUGUUGCUGGAGGAAUAGCUGCUGGUCAUGAUUCGUCGGUGUACCGUAGUUACCCUGACCCUGCACGUUGGGGAUCAUCGACCAGUUACCACCUCCUCCUGAGAAUUGAUCCAUAAUUUCUCCUCCGAUCUCACUUUUUUCGCCUUCUUCUCGUCGUUCGUUGUUUAUAUAAAGUAAGAAGCAGAGUUAAAGGCGGAAUUCAGAAACGACGUCGUAAGCUAAGCGUAUGAAUCGCUCUUUAAUGCAGGUUAAAAGCCCACGGACUUAUCUUAGCCCAUUUAGGUUUUUAAUUCUCUCAAACGACGCAGUUUUAGGUUUCAUCAUCAAUCGAAACAGACCGAAGAAGAAGCUUCUUCAUUCCUAAUUCCUUGUUCUUACAAAAUUGAAUUUUUUUCUUUUUCUUCAGUGGUUCAAAAUUGAGAGCAGGUAUGUGUUCAUAUAGAAACUGAGCUUUAUUGUUGGGUUUGAUCCGAAAUUUUGAAUUUUGAGCUUAAUUAUACUGUACACAUAAGGGAAUUUUAUCAGUUCAACUUUUAAAAAUUCUUCCUUUAAAUUUUGAUUCUUUUGAUUCCAGCUUAUCUCUUCCGUUCCACUGAUGCGUUGAGAACAUUUUUCAUCUCACCAUUUUUACUUAUAGGUAUCCUCAAUUCUUAGUUUGAAAACUAAAAAAGAGCAAAACUUGUAGAUGUUGAUUCGAUUUGAGAUUGAAAAUCAAGAAAUGACGAAUAGAUAAUUCGGUAGAUGUUUUUAAAUUCUGUAUAGUGUUUUGUUACGAUGCUUAUAUCGUCGUCUCAAAAAUUGUUUUUUGAAUUGACAGAACUCGGACACUACUUCACUUAAAGUAAGUACAGUACUUGUCUUCUCUUUAAGCUACGAAGAUGAGGCUGUUGAAGGUUGCGACGUGUAACUUGAACCAAUGGGCCAUGGAUUUCGAGUGCAACAUGAAGAAUAUCAAGGCUUCCAUCACCGAGGCAAAGGCUGCCGGUGCUGUCAUCAGGCUUGGACCUGAGCUGGAAGUCACUGGUUAUGGCUGCGAGGAUCAUUUCUUGGAGCUAGACACCAUCACUCACGCGUAUGCUUCUAUUUUUCUUGCUGCUGAAUCUACUAGUUCUUGGAAUCAUGUUUAACAUAUGUUUCUAAUGUUCCUGUGAAUAUGUUUUUUCAGGUGGGAGUGUUUGAAGGAAUUGCUGCUUGGUGAUUGGACGGAUGGUAUAUUGUGCAGCAUUGGAAUGCCUGUGAUUAAAGGAGCAGAACGGUAUAACUGUCAGGUUCUCUGUAUGAACAGAAGAAUCAUCAUGAUUCGACCAAAGAUGUGGCUUGCAAAUGAUGGAAACUAUAGGGAGCUUAGGUGGUUCACGGCUUGGAAGCAGAGAGAACACCUCGAUGAAUUUCAGCUCCCUAUUGAAAUCUCUGAGGCUUUGGAUCAGAAAUCUGUUCCUUUUGGUUAUGGUUACAUCCAGUUUAUCGACACGUGAGUUUGUAUUUAAUGCUGCCAUUUCAACUUCGUCAAUGAUUUUUUUUAUUGCGAUUAUUAAUUGUAUCAAUUAUAUUUCCUUGUCAGGGCUGUUGCAGCUGAAGUCUGUGAGGAACUGUUUAGUCCACUUCCUCCUCAUGCUGAGCUUGCAUUGAAUGGGGUUGAGGUAUUUAUGAAUGCAAGUGGGAGUCAUCACCAACUGCGAAAGCUAGAUAUCCGUUUGAAUGCUUUCAUGGGGGCUACUCAUGCUCGUGGUGGGGUGUAUAUGUACAGUAAUCAACAGGGAUGUGAUGGUGGCCGCUUAUAUUACGGUAUGGUUGACAAACCUUAGAGGGAGUAACUGUUAUCUACUUUUAAGUGACAGACCAUCUUGAUUUGUUCAUUUUAAACCCAAGUGCAGAUGGAUGUGCAUGCAUUGUUGUAAACGGGGAUGUUGUUGCUCAAGGCUCACAAUUCUCGUUGAGGGACGUUGAGGUCAUCAUAUCCCAAGUGGAUCUUGAUGCGGUAUCCUACACCCUUUUGCUCUACUUUCUCCUGUUUUGUGAUAUAUAAAUGAAAAGUUCUUAGGACUAUCUUGCUUCUUCGUCUGAUAAAGGUUGCGAGUCUUCGAGGAUCUAUAAGUAGUUUCCAGGAACAAGCAAGCUGCAAGGUUAAAGUAUCUUCAGUAGCUGUGCCCUGUAGACUGACACAGUCCUUCAAUCUAAAAAUGACACUGAGCAGUCCGAAGAAGGUUCUCUAUCCUUAAGUAUUUGAUCCGAAGUUAACAUUAAUAUUUUUCAAUUCUAACAUACAUUAGUAAUGUAGAUCAUGUACCACUCUCCACAAGAAGAAAUAGCCUUUGGUCCCGCCUGCUGGAUGUGGGACUAUUUGAGAAGAAGUGGCGCUUCGGGGUUUUUGCUCCCUCUUUCUGGUGGAGCAGACAGCUCCUCCGUGGCAGCCAUUGUUGGCUGCAUGUGCCAACUUGUUGUUAAAGGUAAAUUGGCACUUUAUAUAUGUAUGUUGAACUGUGUUUUUCUAUGAAAUUCCUUUAUAUUAAGUACUCUCAGAGUAUAUCUUCUUUCUCGUUUAGAGAUUGCAAAGGGAGAUGAGCAAGUAAAAGCUGAUGCGAAUCGAAUUGGGAAUUAUUCUAAUGGACAGUUUCCUACUGAUAGCAAAGAGUUUGCCAAACGCAUAUUUUACACUGUCUUUAUGGGGUCUGAAAACAGGUAAAUUAGUUAACAGGAGCCAAGAAUAUGGGUUUUUGGUCAUAACUGCCUGUAAACAUGAAACUUUUGCCCAUACUGAAAUCUCAAAUUUGCAGUUCUGAGGAGACAAAAAGGCGUGCAAAGCAGCUGGCAGAUGAGAUCGGUGCUUGGCAUCUUGAUGUGUGCAUAGAUGGCGUUGUCUCUGCGGUUCUAACUUUAUUUCAAACGGUUACAGGCAAGCGACCUCGGUAUAAGGUAAAGUGGGAAUAUACAUUACCUAAACAAAUAGUUGGAACAAACGAAGUAUGAUCAUCUGGAAAAAGAGAAGAACAACAACAAAUUGUGAAAAUGGUUACUGAUUUUGUGUCUUAGGUUGAUGGAGGAUCAAACGCUGAGAACCUUGGGUUGCAGAACAUUCAAGCCCGGAUGAGGAUGGUGUUAGCAUUUAUGUUAGCAUCUCUCUUGCCUUGGGUUCAUAGCAAACCAGGAUUUUACCUUGUUCUAGGCAGCUCGAAUGUUGAUGAAGGACUUCGUGGUUACCUGACAAAGGUAAUGGAGUCAUCUCCUUUUGCUGCGACAUCUCAAAUCGCAUAGAUUGCUAACAAAUAUAUUCAUUGUCUUGGUUGAAACAGUAUGAUUGCAGCUCAGCAGACAUAAAUCCCAUAGGAAGUAUCAGUAAAACGGAUUUGAGGUUGUUCUUAAAAUGGGCUGCAACGGAUCUCGGAUAUCCAUCCCUGGCAGAGAUAGAAGCUGCUCCACCAACCGCUGAGCUUGAGCCCAUUCGUUCUGACUAUUCUCAGGUAAUAACAAAACUAUUUGUGAGUCGAUAUCUAAAGUUAACGAAGUUGUCAAUUCAGACAUUUUGAGUUUUGAAAACAGCUGGAUGAAGUCGACAUGGGAAUGACUUAUGAAGAGCUUUCAGUGUAUGGAAGGAUGAGGAAGAUAUUCCGGUGUGGACCAGUUUCUAUGUUCAAGGUUUGAUUUCCUGAAAGCUAGCCACAUAUGUUACUAAACCAUGAUACACUGAAACUGAAGCUGGUCUGUGAUCCUGCAGAAUCUAUGUUACAAGUGGGGAACAAAGCUAAGCCCAGCAGAAGUAGCUGAGAAAGUGAAGUAUUUCUUCAAAUACUAUUCGAUCAAUCGACACAAGAUGACUGUCCUCACACCGUCCUACCACGCUGAGGUAAUUACUUAUCUGAAACGUAUUUGAAACUAUCUUGAGAGAAAGAAAAGUAACUCAUUGGUUUUUUUUGUGUUGCAGAGUUACUCUCCAGAGGACAACAGAUUCGAUCUGAGGCAGUUUUUGUACAACAGCAGGUGGCCGUACCAGUUUAAGAAGAUUGACGAGAUAGUUGACGGCUUAAAUGGCGACUCAGUUGCUUUCCCGGAAGAAGCAGGAAACUCCGAGAAAGAAGUUGGAGUUGUAGCAGCAAACUCUGAAGACCCAAGCGCGGGUCUCUGAUGAAAUAUCAUCCCACUAAACUCUCCCUCUAUUUCAACCCAAAGUAGAAGUUAAAAAGACUGAUAUUUACACUUCAAAAUAAGCAUAGUAAUUUUUCCAAAUCACAUACAGCAAAUUGGAACAUGUUUGUUACUACUUAUACGAUUAAAUAUGUAUAAAAACCUUGCUUUCUAUUUUCCUCUUCAUAAAAUCAAUCUUGAGUAUUGUGCAGUGGUUUGAAGAGUAUUAACACCCACUAAAUAAGUUUGAGGUGGAACUAAAAUCCCAAGAAAAGUAAAAAUGAAAGAUUUCCUACUAAUUAAUAAUUUAAAUUGCGUAUAUUUAUAAGAUUUGAAAAUAAUAUUAAUUUUUUUGGUGGAAAGAAAAUAAUAUUACUAGUUUGCUAAGAAAUCAUAUUUUUUUAAAACAUAUUCAGUUUUAAAGAAAGAAAUCAAAAUUAUACGGAAUCGAAAUGACAAUAAUUCUUUAAUAUAUAUAUGGUUUCUUUUAAUAGGAAAUAUUUUAUCACAUUUACACGGAAAUCACGACACAAUAAUAAAACGAUAUAUACAGAAAUCACAACACAAUUAUAAACGAUUUGAAUAGUUUAAUUGACUCUCUCAAACUUACAUACACAUAAAUAUAUAUACAUAACCAUGAUCUAGCUCUUUUGCUGUCUUCACACCAUAAAAAUAUAUACAAAGAAAAUGGCAUUACUAUCGUCAAAGCUUGGAUUAAUAGUGAUUUUCGUCCUAUGUUCUUGUCUCCUAGUUACUUCUCAAUCAAAAGGUAACUAUAUAAUGUAUAUAUGUAUCUCUAAGAUCACAAUCUAAUAGCAAACAAUUUAUAUUGUCUAACCUUGGUUUAACCGUACGUGUGGUACGUACGGUAACUAAUGAUAGAUGUAAGAGGUGAGAAGGAUGUUCAUCCUCCAAGUUCGUGCGUGUUCAGAGGUCCAUGUAGAAGCGAUACAGAUUGUAAGAGUCAAUGCGGACCACCGGACUUCCCACCGUCGACACUUGGCUCAUGCUUACCCAGUCCUAGAGGUCAUGGCAACAUUUGCUGUUGUACCAAAGAUUAUUAGUUCUCCCAUACUUUAAACUAUAAACAAAACCAAAUGUUACUUUAUAUCAUCGACUUCAAAUGAAUAUUGAUUUACUAGCUGUUUUUGGAUGAAAACAAAAGAAUCUUAAACGUACGUUGAACCUCUUCCAAACUCACUCUGGAGCUCUUGUAAGCUAUUGCUUGAAAUCAAGCGAUGAUAUUUAAUUUGGUCUCACUCCAACUUUUCUAAUUGUCUCUAAUUAUUACAAUAUAUGAUUUUUAGUCACGUUCUUCAUUUCAUUUUAGUAAUAUAAAUAAAAAGUAGCAAGUAAAUCAUCAAGUCUUAAUGUAAUAAUGUUUUAGGUGGACAUCUUUAAUUAUAUGAAGAUAUAUAGAUUUAUCCUUUGUUAUCUUCUAGUAAAAUUGAUAGAUAGUUAAAUUUAGCCAUUUAGGUUUAUAUAAAAUACCUAUAUGUGAUUCUUUUUAACCUUUUUGUAAUCAUCCAAUCUAUAUUCUACUUUUUGUAUCUAUUCUUAAUAGUAUACACUUUAAUUUUCUUGAAGAUUUGAUGACUAUACAAUACAGUAUAUAUGGUUCCUUUUAAUAGGAAAUACGUUAUUAAUUUUAUAAAGAUAUUAAACCCCUACUUUUAAUUAAUAUGGACAGAAAUCACAACACAAUAAACAAUUUCAAUAUUUAUAUGAUACUGUCAAAGUUAUAUAUAUAUAUAUAUAUAUAUGAUCUUGCUCUUUACUUUCUUCACACCCAAAAAAAAUUGUGUUGCUUCGGUAGAAACGCACCGAAGUGCUUCUCAAUCAAAGCUUCGAUAUGGCAUUAUCAAAGCUUCGAUAUUUAAUAGUCAUCCUCGUCAUAUAUUGUCUCCUAGUUGUUUCUCAAUCAAAAGGUGAUUAAUAUAUGUUUUUCUAAUCACAACUAAAAUCUAUUAAGGAUCAUAUUCUCGUGUACCUUCUAAUUAAUUUUUGGUUUUGUUUAAAACAUUGUUUAUAAUGAAAUAGAUAUUGUAAGAGAGAUCAAUGCUAUACAUCCUCAAUAUUGCAACUAUAGAGGUCCUUGUAAAACCCAUAGAGAUUGUAAGAGACCAUGUGGACCUCCCGACUUCCCACCGGCGACUAUUGGUUUAUGCCAACCCACUCCUUGGGGUCAUGGCAAACUUUGUUGUUGUGCCAAAGAUUAAUUUAUUCAUUUAUUCUCUCAUUGUAACCUUCUUUACUUUUAAAUAACUAUUUCAUAUGGUAUUAAAGAAAUUGAUUUUGGAUUUAACAAAAAAAAAGCAUGUUUUUGGUUGUAUUCGAUCUAUAUAUAUGAACCAAUGGUUUCAACUUUCAAUCAUACAAAAUAAAUGUUUGUUAUUCACUACUUUAACACGUGCAUGCGGAGGAGCAAUAAUCAAAUUAAACGAAAAACGUUACUGACUGUAACAAGUAUGUUGGUUUGAUCUAUAUAUAUAUACUUUGAGUACCAUUUUCUUUAGUUCAUAUAUAUAUCAUAAAUUAUUAAUACGCAAAGAGCUCUCUUAUGUUUUGCAUGCAUGUGUAGCACAAAGUAAAAUCAUAAACACAAUUAAUUAUACUACUAAUAACAUAUAGGCGAAUCGUAAUUAAUUUUCCUUUUUUUUUGUUGGUAUAAACUUGCUUGCACCGUCCGUGACAGUUCUCCUUUCAACAUAUAUGUUUGAUUUAAACUAAUUUUAUAGAAAAGUCUCUAUACAUAUACUUUAGAUAAUAUAUUAAUCUUGGUGGCUAUGUUGUUGUUCCUCUGAAGCAGAACUGUUGAGACAGUUGCCAAGAUUAUUAGCGAAGCUUAGAAUCUCAUUAUGAGACAUUAACGACCUUAGCCCCAAGAAAUCCCUCGUCUCUCCUCCACCGUCGUCCACGACGUCGUUCUUGUCGUCUCCGGCUACAAAACCACCGUUGAAAGCUUCUUCUCCACCUCCGCCGUGAUGAUUCAUCAUGUAAUAGUCUUGGAACCCGAAUCCAGCUGGUCCAGAUGGUGAAGUCAUCAUCUCGGCCAUCGUAGUCGUGAUCAAGUUAUUAUAGCUUGACCUUGACGGCUUCUCUUCUUCCUCUGGAGCUGUACUUGACUUCUUGGAACCCAUUUGAGCAGCUUUCUGGAGCAAAGCCGUGGCUGACAUAGCCGCCGACGGGUGGUGAAAGUUGGAUCGUCCGGUGGGUGCAGAAGAAGCAAGAGGAGGGAACAAAUUACCAUUAUUGCUGCUGCCAUUAGGGUUAUUAGGGUUCGAUGAAGCAAGCCAAGGAGGGAUGUUUUGGAAGUGAUGAUGUGACUCUUCUUGCUUCAUAGGAGGAGCAUGGAGAUUAUUGCUGCUGAUCACGUUUUGGGAUGAAGUAGAGAAAGUGAUGUUCUGCUGUUGUGUUUGAUGAUGGCCAUGAUGAGAAGGAGAAGCUGAAGAUUGUAUGAGAAUAGGGUUUGGUAUGGCUCUUGCACUCUCUUCUGCUAACGCAUCGCAAAAUGCUCUAUGAGUUAUGAAACUAUCCCUCCUGCAAAUGCAAUAAUAAUUCCACAAAAUCAAAACAUUAUUAAGAUUUGAUGACUUUAUAAAGUAAAACACAAAGACUUUUUCGUGGUUUUUUGUAGGUCCAACUAAAGCAUGCAUUAUUUGUGGGGUGUGUCACGUGUGAAUAAUAAUAAGAUGAUAGAUCAAUGUGCAAUAAAUGUAAGCCGUAUAUAUAUAUGUAAAGGAUUCCGAUAUUAUAAGGAAGGACUCCAGCAAAAAAAUAAAAUAAAAAAUACAACAACUUAGAAACAAGUACCACAAUAAUAAAUAGUUGUUUAAAUGUAGAUUCUUUGAGCUACUUAAUAUUAAUUACCAUGUUUGUCCUAUUCAAAAUUCAUAAAUGAAACUAGCUAGUAUCAUAAACCCCAACAGAUGCAUGCUACCGUAGUAUUUUAUACUAUGUGUCACUCGUUUUCACAUUACUCUUGUAAAAUAAACUUAUAGACUUAAGUAAGUAUUAAUGCACAAGUUUCAUUAAAAACAUAAUCGAGUCAUAUUAAUUAUUAAAUGGUAAUGUGUGAAAGAGUAUUUUUUUACCUAGAAAAGAGAGUUCCACAGUCGCAUUUGUAUUCUUUAGUGCCACAAGUCUUAGCAUGAGCUUUCCAAUCUGAUUGAACAGCAUAUUUCUUCGAGCACUUUUCACAUUUCCAUUUUUUCUCGCCAUGUUUUCUGAAGAAAUGCUUCUUGAUUCCGGUCAAGUCUCCGAGAGCUCUCGAGGGAUGGUUAUGGACACAGCCUGGCUCUGGACAGAUGUAAACUUUCUUCCUAACCACGUCUUUGUUUGAUCUUUGCUUAAGCUUCCACGGUAGAUUGUGUCCUCUCUUGUGGAGUUGCAAGUUCUGGUCUCUUUGAAAACCUUUGUUGCAGACCUCACAUAUGAAUCUGUUUGUCGCCAUUAGUGUUUUUGGUGAUAAAGCCAUCACUUCUGCUUCAGGGUCUGACCAAACAAAGUACAUAAACUAAUUACUUCUUGACUCAUAUAACAAAGAAACAAAUUAACUAUGGUAAAGUUUGGAUUUUUAUUUGGUUUUUUACCCAUUGUGAUAGUAGAGAUGAGAAAGAUGACAAAGUUAAAAGGGUAAAAGAGAAUAUUCGGACAGUACCCAUAAUUCAGAAAAAACAAUAAUCGAUGAUAUAUAUCAAAUAAUUAUAAAAUGAAUACGUCCAAAAAUAAAAACCAAGAAAGUUUUGAUUUUUCUUCUUCUUCUUCAUCGUCAUCAUCAAAGUAUAUAUCAAAAACUAAAUUUACCUGGAUUUCCUGGUUGAUUUCUCUUCCUCUUGAUAGAUGAUUGAGGAACAAAACACUGUUCUUGUUGGUGAAUAAGGUUAGAGCCACUAGUUUCAGUUCUGUUUCCGGAAGACACACUUGCUUGAUCUCCUGAAGCAGAUGUUAGAUUCGACAUGUUCUCUUCCACUUGUUGUUGUUGUUGAUGAAAUAUCAUCUCUCUGUUCAUCAUCAUCCUUAAAAACAAACAAAAACAAAAACUUUAGCUAGUAAAAAAGAAAGAGAGAACUAAAACCUUUUUUUUUUCAGAUCUAUGUACAGACAAAGAGUAGUGGAGAAAAAACAUAAGCAGAAACAUCCAAGAAACUAAUGAAACCCAUGAUUCUAUCUUAAAAGAAACUGAUAAAAAAAAUAUUAAAAGUUUCUUGUUUUGGUUUCAACGCAAAGAGACAACCUUUGGUUUCUUUUACUUGUCGGAAGAACCAAAAAAAAAUAAUAAUAAAACUCAGAAUCCAAGAGAUGUGAAUAGAGAGAAACCUGAACACAAGAAAACCAGAUUUUUUUGUUGGGUUCUUGUUCAUUUCUCAAAACAUGAACAACAAGAAGCUCUAAAUUUUAACAAGAAAAAUCCAAAAUAAAAAAACAUAGAAAACUCCAACAAAGAACUACUAUAUACACAAGACGAAUAACAAACAGUGAGAAGAAAUAAAUUAAUGAACCAAGCAGAAGGAAGAAAAUACAAAAAGAAAUACCUAAAGCUAGAAGAAGAAGAAGAAGGAGAGAGACGAGAGAGGGGAGAUUGUGGAUGAGAGAAAAAACUCUUAUUAAUUAUCUCUCUCUCUCUCUUUCUCUUUGAAACUUAUAUAUUUCUCAGAACAAAUAAGUGAACCCUACCGCUAAUAAUGAAAAAAAAAAAAAGCAAAGAUGAAAAAUAAAACUCUUCUGGAGCUUUUGUCAUUUUCUGUCUUUUUAUUUUAUUAAUUUUACUUACUUACACACAGAAGCUCACAGAGACUCAGAGCAGUCUGUCCAUUUUUAUAAUUAUUAUUUGACUGUAAAUUAUAUUUUUUGCAUUAACAUUUGUCUAUAGAGGUGGGCCAAAAAAAAAAAACUUUUUUGUCACAGUUGUGUGAAAACUGAAAAGCUUGCAAGCAGAAAGAAAGAGAGAAGAGGAGGAGAGUUUAUAAUUUUGUACGUUUCUCGAGAUAGUGAGAAGACAACAUGUUUUGUUUGAAUUGAAUUCGUUUUAUUUUAUAAUUAUAUAUAGUGCUGCAUGCACUAUUAUUACAUUAUUGAUUAUGAUGUUAUUUUCCCUAGGGAGUUAUUGAUAUUUUCAUUAUUAUUAUUUUGACUAUUCAAGUCUUCAUCAUUGUACUCAUUUUUAUGGGAGAAAUCAUGUAAAAUUUAUUGGUUUCCACUUUUGUGACAACAUUGUCAAAUCUGUAUUUAAUCUACAGAAUAUUUUGAUGUGUGAGUUUUUAGGAAACUUAAAAAAAAAAAAAAAGACUAUCUAAGCAAAUUUGCUCAACAGAAAGGUUGAAUCUAAAUUGAAUAAUUCAUAUUCAUCCUCCUAAUGCAGUUUUAAUGGUGUCUUUUGUCAGUUAUAAAGUUGUGAAUACUUAGUUUUUUUUUUUUUUUUGUCGCCAUGAAUACUUAGAUUUACAGUACCAAAAAACUUGAUUGAUUCAUUGAUUAAAGAGGUAAAAGGUUAACUUUUGUUGUUUCUUUGGGGAUUCAUUUUUGAGGCUUUUCAUGUGAAAAGAAAAAAGAGAAAGAAAGAAUAAUGGAUUAAACCUUUAAUUACGUUGUAAACAAAAAAAAAAAAAAGAGUUAGUAAGUCUCAGUGACACAUGCCCUAACCUACUUUAUGAUCUACAUCGAGCUAUGGACACAAAUCAUUGACAUUUUUUUAUUUUUGAAUUUUUCUCUUAAAAGUUAAAACAAAUGAUAAGUAUUAAUCUAUGAUAUUAUAUUUCAUACGUAGACCGUGGUCGGUCCAAGGUCGUAGACUAGACACCACUAAUCUCUCCCUAUCUUAUCUACAUUUUUUAAUUAAAAGAAAAAAAAGAUAUACUGACCAUCCAAAUUAAAACUUUGAGUAAUAUUUGCAACCAUAUUAAUAGUCUAAUCCAUGUUUUGAAAAAAAUCAAAUCAAAUCAAAGUGGGUACACAUUUGGAAAUUUGCAUUUUUUGUAAUGGUCUGAAAUGUACCGCUACAUCCGAUUUUGUAUUUUAUGAGAAGCACAUAAGAACAAAUAUUUUUAAAAAGAAAAAAAAAAAAAGAAGGAAGAAAUUUCAUGAAUUAAUAUGUUGUCCACUCACAUCAUAGAGUCAUUCUAUUUGUAUUUGGUGACAACCAUGCAUCCAUAAUGUGAAACUUUUGAUUAUAAAUCCUCAUGCUAUUUUAUUUCAUUUUUAUACAUAAAAUUAGGUGGCUAAACGAAAACUAAUCAAAUUUUAUCCAUUUUGGACAAUUUUUUUAUAUAAUAUAAGUGUUUUCCUGGUAGCAAUCCUAACUAGUAUCGUUUUAGUUUUCAAGACCACCGCUAAAACUCCAAUUCGUAGCUAUCCCCCCAUUACAAAACUACACACAUUUGUCUGUUUACUCCAAUCCGGUUGUGUUCUAUAUAUUUCCAUAUAAUUCGUCACCAGAAUAUAACUACGUACAUAGUAGUAGGUGAUGAUUUGCAACAGUUAUAUAGGUCAAUGCGAACAAAAUCAGGUCCUGUCUCCACGUCGGCAACGCGUGGCUCCGGAUUUAUUUUACAAUCAUAAUAAUAUAUAUAUCUCAGACUUAUAUAAGAAGACUAAAAAUAGUUGACAACUAAAAAUAUGCAAAAAUGAAAAUAAUAAUUAGAUCCGCCGAAACUAAUUUUUAUAGAAUUAACUCCAUCAUGUUUUGGUUUGAAAAAAAAAUAUGGGUAGGGUGUAGUAGCUGUCUAGUUUUAUCCACGUUUGGUAACAUGCUACUAAACGAUGUUUAAAAGAAAAAACGUAAAUCAUUAAACAAAUAAAGAAUUAUAUGAAUAUUUUUUUCAUUAGCACCUAAUUAGUUAACCUUUAUCCAAAUGUCGUUAUCGGCCUAUAAUCAUAGACUUAUAUAAGCAGUCAUUAGUUUGAACGAUUAAGACAUACUAAUAUUUAUUUGUUUUAAAAUUUACAUCGUCUAAUAAUUGUAUAAUAAAGCAUUAUUUAUUAUACUUGUUGUGGAAAUGGCAUUAUGUAAAGUAUUACUGACUACUGCAAACAUAAUUAGGGGAGAUGAGAGAGGGGAAUCUCAUCUAAUCUACAGACAUAGCCCACAUAGGUGAAAGUGAGAGGUCGAUGAAACCGUAGGAAGACCCAAGAACACGUGGCGUGUUAUAAUUGGGAUUGUACGCUAAGCUAAAAAAACGAGUCAUGAUUGGUGUUUUUUUUAAGAGUCUUCAUCAGUUCUGUGUGGAAACACGCGGUCAGAGACCACCUUUCCGAACAACCCUUCCCAAUUGUUUCCGUUUCCGGUCUUCUUCUUCGAUACGUCGCCGUUCUCUUGUCCCUACCAACCACUCAAAGCCAUUUAAACCGGUGGUUCUCUCCCGACCUGUCCAAACCACCUAUUCACUCUUUAAUUAUUGCAAACAAGCUCGAUUGGUUUCGGUUUAGUUUUAUUUUUAUAAAAAGGUAAAUCCAAAUCAUAUGUCUUUUAAGGAUUUUGCAUACAUUAUUUCAUUUUUGUUUUGGUCCGGUUGAGUUUUUGGUUUAUGGGCUUCGAUCUUUCUCCUCAAACCCAUUAGAGGCCUAUUUAGACAGAGAGUAGGAAGAUAGAGUCCGUUGCUUUAAUCAGUGUUUUUUUGGAAAUAUUGUAUGGUUGAUUGACUCAAUUGGUCAUUGGAUUAAGAUUAAUUAAUCGACUGGUCUUUGAUUAAUGGAUUUAUAUCUGCACUUACGUGCCCACUUGUACAUUACUAAUCUCUUAACCAUGUGUGUAAUAAGAUAAACCAAUCUAAUUACUUUAAUUAACUCAUUUACAAUUAUUAAUUUAGCCGUUAACACUUCGUACUUAAACAUCAUCUCUAUACCGAACAAAGAUAGAGAGAGAGAGAGAGAGAAACAGAGCAACAAUGGCGAAAGUAAAUCGCUCCAACAUUGGUCUCUCACUGUUAUUAUCGUUGUUGCUCUGCAGCUUUAUCCCCGAUCUUGAAGCUUCUUCACAUAAAGAUCUCAACCAACCGUACCGGACCGGUUAUCACUUUCAACCUCCUAGCAAUUGGAUGAACGGUAUGUACCGUACCGAUCUUGAUCUAAAUACAAAUCCAUCGGUAUAUGUAAUUCGAUCCUCUAAAUUAACAUACUCUAUUAUCUGUUGACUCCGUUAUGCUCGAUGAAAUCCAAUUCGACCAACAAAAAACUCCAGAUCCUAAUGGUUAGUUCUCCUUUAUUCAUAUUUUAAAAAUAUAUAAUUAUUAAAUCAUUAUUAUACAAAAUACGUAUUUUUGUCUCUCUUUUUUUUUGGGUAGGGCCAAUGAUAUACAAAGGAAUAUAUCAUUUAUUUUACCAAUAUAACCCAUACGGUGCUGUUUGGGAUGUAAGAAUCGUCUGGGGACACUCCACGUCAGUUGACUUAGUCAACUGGACUCCACAGCCUCCAGCUUUCAGUCCAUCUCAGCCGUCAGAUAUCAACGGCUGUUGGUCAGGCUCGGUCACGAUUCUCCCCAACGGCAAACCUGUUAUCCUCUACACCGGCAUUGACCUUAACAAGAGUCAAGUUCAAAACGUCGCCGUUCCGGUUAACGUCUCUGAUCCGUAUCUCCGGGAAUGGUCUAAACCUCCGCUAAACCCUCUUAUGGCGCCUAACUCGGUCAACGGAAUCGACCCGGACCGGUUUCGAGAUCCAACCACCGCGUGGCUCGGACUUGACGGAGAAUGGCGAGUCAUCGUCGGAAGCUCGACGGACGAUCGUCGAGGGUUAGUGAUUCUUUACAAAAGCAGAGAUUUCUUGAAUUGGACGCAAUCGACGACACCUUUGCAUUACGAAGACUUAACCGGAAUGUGGGAAUGUCCUGAUUUUUUCCCGGUUUCGAUAACCGGAUCGGACGGUGUUGAAACGUCGUCAGUUGUUCAGAAUGAUGUUAAGUACGUGCUUAAAGUGAGUCUGAUUGAGACAUUACAUGACUAUUACACGAUUGGGAGUUACGACCGUGAGAAAGACGUGUAUGUGCCUGAUCUUGGGUUUGUGCAAGAUCGAUCAGCUCCGAGGUUAGACUACGGGAAAUAUUACGCGUCAAAAACGUUUUACGAUGAUGUUAAGAAACGAAGGAUCUUGUGGGGUUGGGUUAAUGAAUCUUCUCCGGCUAAGGAUGAUAUUGAGAAGGGUUGGGCUGGUCUUCAGGUGCGUUUUAGUUUUCCCAGCAUUUAACAGGUGUUUACAGAUUCUUGAAUCAACUUAACCUGUGUUUCUUUUUGUAAUCUUGAUUUGACAGUCAUUUCCGAGGAAGAUAUGGCUCGAUGAAUCGGGAAAAGAAUUAUUACAAUGGCCGAUUGAAGAGAUUGAUACAUUGCGUGGGACACAAGUCAGCUGGCAAAACAAAGUUCUUGAAGCAGGAUCUACUGUCCAAAUUCAUGGUGUCACUGCUGCACAGGUAGGACUCGAUCCUUAUUCUUUAACUUAGACCACUCUAAUGGGAACUGAAUCGACCUUUAAUAUUGUUUUUUUUUUGGUAUUGAGCAGGCAGAUGUUGAGGUAUCGUUCAAGGUAAAUGAAUUGGAGAAAGCGGAUGUGAUUGAUCCGAGUUGGACCGACCCACAAAAGAUAUGUAGGGAGGAAGAUUUGUCGGUUAAGUCCCGUGUAGGACCAUUUGGUUUGAUGGUUUUGACAUCCAGUGACAUGGAAGAGUACACGUCGGUUUACUUCAGAAUCUUCAAGUCAAAUGAUAGUAAUAAGCAUACUAAGUAUGUGGUGUUGAUGUGCAGUGACCAGAGCAGGUAUUUAAAAUCUCUUGCAUAGAUCAAAAGACACAUUUAGAUUCUUUUGAUAGUUUCAUAAAAUGUAAACGAAAAUAACUCGUAUUUGGUACUCACAGAUCUUCGUUGAAUGAGGAAAAUGAUAAAUCCACGUUUGGUGCUUUUGUGGGGAUAGACCCUUCUCAGCAGACACUUUCUCUUAGAACUUUGGUAAGUCUUAUAGUAUAUGAAAGAUAUUUCCAUAAACAAGUGUCUUGUAUCAAGGUGAGUAUACUUCAGUAGAUGCAUAUACUAGGGGAUUGAUGAAUGUUUUCUUUUUUUUUUGUUUGUAGAUUGAUCACUCGAUAGUGGAGAGUUACGGUGGAGGAGGCAGAACAUGUAUAACCUCAAGAGUGUAUCCAAAGUUGGCAAUUGGAGAAAAUGCAAAUCUUUUUGCCUUCAACAAAGGAAGCGAAAGUGUUGAUGUCUUGAGCCUAAGUGCUUGGAGCUUGAAGUCUGCUCAAAUCAAUGACGAGUCGAUUUCACCAUUUAUUGAGCGUGAAGAUUCACACUCACCUAAACAGUCAUGAGUGCAUAUAUAUAGUACUACAUUACAUUGUACGGGGACACCAUAAUAAAAUAAGAGACCACACACAUAUUUGUGAUAUCAAUAUUCUUGAACAUUUUACUAUUCAAUUCAAACUUUGAAGAUUUUUUUUUCUUUCCGUUGUGUAUCUUAUUCCUACGCAAAAGAUUAUACAGUUUUUUUUUUUUUUUUCAUUUGAGCUUAAGCUAUUUCAUUGUUAAAGUAAAAAUAUUUUUCCUAAAAUGAAUGAAACAAACUCAAAAAGAGCAUGUAGUAAAAAAAUAGAAUAUUAAUUUUUUUCAACAUUAUUUAUUUAUUUAUUUCUGAAAUAAAAAGAGUUGGUAAUAUAUUGUGAAUUUCAUUUCACAUUUUUUUUUUUUUUUUGUCAUCAAAUAAAAAGUUAACUCAAAUGAGCCAACUUGACGGACAAUUGUUUACAAACUUAAUCAAAUGCGGACUGUAACGAGCUUUGCGUGCCAAGUAAUCCGCUUUUACAUUCAGAUUUCUAGGAAUAAAAGAUAAAGAAAAAGAUGAGAAUUCUUCCUUAUCAUUCUUGAUAUCCUCCAGGUAGACAGAGAAAGCCGGCCAUUCGUGAGGAGAAGACACCAUCUUCACCAAGUCCGAACAGUCGGUAAGAAAAGCAACUUCUCUGAAGUCAUGGCCAAUCAUGCAUCGCAUCGCCCACACCAGAGCUUCUACUUCCGAAUGAAGAGGGGAAAGACUUCUUCGUAGGUUAGAAGCUCCCAUCGUCGUGGAAGAAUCAUGUGCAUGCUGACAAAACCAUCCUAAACCUGCAUACAUAUCUGUGGCCUUCCAAGACCCGUCAAUGAAACAAUGAUAACCCGGAAACCUGGAAGGUAUAGAACUCGGUAACCCAGGCAUAACAUUAUCACCUACGGGGCCCUCCCUCGUAGUAUUGGAGUCAUCUAAUUGUGCAUCAUACCAAGUACGAGCUUCAUCUGUAGCUAGCCGGACGACAUCCGAAGGGUUUUUAUCUAGAUUAUCAAAAACCAUAUCAUUUCUGGACUUCCAGAUGUACCACAAAAUCCAAGGACAAAACCUAUACUCCUCCUUUACUAGUAUACGCAAAAUAUAGUCCAUAUUAGCAAAAACAGAAGCCGUAGGGAACCCAAUAGGCCCUACUGGGACGUUCGCUAAUGCCCAAGUUUGCCGAGAUGGUGGACAAUCAAAAAUUACAUGAUUGACCGUCUCCAUUGGGUCACCACAUCGUCCACAUCGCGUAUCACAAUUAAUUCCCCGUUGACUCAAGUUGGCCAAAACAGAGAUGCAACCUGUAAGUAAUUGCCACAUAAAAUGAUGAAGUUUAGGUGGACACCUAACUUUCCAUAUACCUGCUAAUAACGGAAUGAUAUCUGGGCCGCACACUUGCGGAGUUGACAUUUGUAGUGUUUGCAUUCUGGCAGCAUAAUAACCGGAUCUAACCGUAUAUCUCCCAUUCUUUGUGAAAUGCCACCCGUAAGAAUCUGUGAUCGGACAAUUUCCAAUUGGGAGAGCAUUUAUCAACGAACUAUCUUCCUGAGUGAAGUGCUCCUGUAACACAUCUAAAUUCCAAGAAUUUGUUUGACGAUCAAUUAAAUGACGUAUGUGAAGUGAGGGAUCCAUAAUUGAUCCAUUACUCUUAGCUGGUCUCGGGAAUUGAGCUGGAAUCCAAGGGUCCGUCCAAACGGAUAUAGAAUCCCCUGUCCCAACUCUUUUAAUGAGCUCUUUCAUAACCAGAGAUCUAACUGAUACCAUGCUCCUCCAUCCAUACGAUGGGGAAUACGAUUUGACUUGUUCCAUUGGAGUUGCAUUCCUAUAGUACCGGCCCUGAAACACCUUUGCAAAUAGAGAAUUUGGGUAAUCAAUCAACCUCCAAAGCUGCUUUGCUAACAUCGCUGUAUUGAAAUCAUUUACAUCGCGGAAGCCUAACCCACCACUACACUUGCUAGAGCACAAUUUAUCCCAUGCUCACCAGUGCAUUCCCCCAGAGUAACCAUUUGAACUCCACCAAAACUUUGCCACUGCACUUGUCACAUUUAUCUAAAACAAAACAAAUACAGUAAACAGAAAAAUAGAUGAAGCGACAUCGUUUUGACAUAGAAAAAACGCUUUCUUCUUGCGUUAGCUUAAUCUGCCCACUGCUCUCGGCUACUUUGUUCUAUCUGAGACUGAGAGAAGCGUCGAGGUUGAGGAAGAAGAAAUCAACGAACAUGGCGAUCAGGAUUCGGAUCUACGGCAUUCUCUUAAUCCUUGUAUUCUUGUUCUCUACUAUUCGCGCUUUUUACCUUCCCGGUGUCGCUCCUCGCGAUUUUCAAAAGGUACUGUUUUGGUAAUUCCGAUCUCAGGUUUGAUGGCGCUAUCGAUCUAGGGUUUCUCAUGUUAAUUUCGAUUGGUUUGGCGUAAUCCAAUCUAGAUCCGUGGGAAAUCAUUUCGUCUAUUAUUGUCGUCCAAGGAUUCUUUGAGCGUUAUUGAGUGUAUAGGAGUAUUAUUGCCAAUUUGACAAUGUAGGGAUCUGUGUUAUUGAAUUUAUAGGAUUGAAUGUUAGAAUCAGUUUAUGGUGAUUCAUGUUGAAGCUUUUUGAGCUCAUGAUUUUCAAACCUUGCUUGUGCUGUGGUUACAGGGUGAUCCUCUUUAUGUCAAAGUGAACAAAUUGUCGUCUACAAAGACUCAACUUCCUUAUGAUUUCUACUACCUUAAUUACUGUAAGCCUCCCAAGAUCUUGAAUACCGGCGAAAAUUUGGGGGAGGUUCUCAGAGGAGAUCGCAUUGAGAAUUCGGUUUAUACUGUAAGCAAAAAAAACUUAUAUGAUUUUUCUUCUUCCUUCUCAUCCUUGGAUUUGGUGUUGAGACUUUGGAUUCUAUUUCAGUUUGAAAUGUUGGAGGAUCAGCCCUGUAGAGUAGGUUGCCGUAUUAAAGUCGAUGCUGAGUCUGCUAAAAAUUUCAGGGAAAAGAUUGAUGAUGAAUACCGAGCUAAUAUGUAAGUUUAGGUAUAUGCUGUCCGUGAUUCGUGUCAAGUAAUUUUUAUUGAUUCUUUCAAUUUUUAUUAUGAAAUGACUCUGCAGGAUUCUUGAUAAUCUUCCGGUAGCUGUUCUUCGACAAAGAAAAGAUGGAAUUCAGUCAACGACUUAUGAACAUGGUUACCGUGUUGGCUUCAAAGGGAGUUAUGAAGGGGUAAUACGUCUCUUAAACCUAUGACUACAGUCUUACCUUUUAAGCAUUUUCUUGUACCAAUCAGGAGUAGUUUCCUUUGCUUUUGUAGAGUAAAGAGAAAAAAUAUUUUAUCCAUAACCACUUGAGUUUCCGAGUCAUGUACCACAGAGACCAAGAGUCUGACUCUUCUCGCAUCGUUGGUUUUGAGGUUACGCCUAACAGGUAUUGUCUACUUGGUUAUCAUCAACAUUUAUUGAUGAGUAUGAUUUGGUCUCAAUUCUUACUAGCUACCUCUUUUUUCUUCUCUCUUUUUGGUUAGUGUAUUGCAUGAGUACAAAGAGUGGGAUGAAAAAAAUCCUCAGUUAACAACAUGCAACAAAGACACAAAGAAUCUGAUCCAAAGCAACACUGUUCCUCAAGAAGUUGAGGAAGGAAAAGAAAUUGUGUUUACGUAUGAUGUCACCUUUAAGGUAACUAACUUACCUUUGAGAGCUCUUUAUUUGCGCUCUGUAAACAUAUUAUGACGAUUGAAAUAUGCAGGAGAGUGAAAUCAAAUGGGCUUCGCGAUGGGACACAUACUUGCUGAUGAACGAUGAUCAAAUCCACUGGUUUUCAAUCAUAAACUCGCUUAUGAUUGUCCUUUUCCUCUCUGGAAUGGUAGCGAUGAUCAUGAUGAGAACUUUAUAUAAGGAUAUUUCAAACUACAAUCAGCUCGAGACCCAAGACGAGGCUCAGGAAGAAACUGGAUGGAAACUUGUACACGGAGAUGUCUUUAGGACUCCCGUGAACUCUGGAUUACUUUGUGUAUACGUUGGCACAGGUGUUCAGAUUUUUGGCAUGACCCUUGUGACAAUGAUGUUUGCAUUGCUGGGUUUCUUAUCUCCAUCCAACAGAGGAGGGCUUAUGACUGCCAUGGUUCUCUUAUGGGUAUUCAUGGGUAUCUUCGCCGGUUACUCCUCUUCUCGGCUUCACAAAAUGUUUAAAGGGAACGAGUGGAAACGAAUCACCUUGAAGACUGCAUUCAUGUUUCCUGGUAUACUCUUUGCAAUCUUCUUUGUUCUCAACACACUUAUAUGGGGAGAGCGAUCAUCUGGAGCCAUCCCCUUUGGUACAAUGUUUGCUCUGGUGUGUCUCUGGUUUGGAAUCUCUGUCCCACUAGUCUUCAUUGGUAGCUAUCUUGGCCACAAAAAACCAGCAAUUGAAGACCCAGUCAAAACAAACAAGAUCCCGAGACAAGUACCAGAGCAACCUUGGUACAUGAAACCUGGUUUUUCAAUACUAAUUGGAGGAAUCCUUCCAUUCGGAGCAGUCUUCAUCGAGCUUUUCUUCAUCCUAACAUCGAUCUGGCUCAACCAAUUCUACUACAUCUUCGGAUUCCUUUUCAUAGUGUUCUUGAUCUUGAUCGUGACCUGCGCAGAGAUCACAAUUGUCCUCUGCUACUUUCAGCUCUGCAGUGAAGACUAUAAUUGGUGGUGGAGAGCUUACCUCACAUCAGGCUCAUCCUCACUCUACCUCUUUCUCUACUCCAUUUUCUACUUCUUCACAAAGCUUGAGAUCUCAAAACUCGUCUCAGGAGUGCUCUACUUCGGGUACAUGAUCAUCAUCUCGUACUCGUUUUUUGUGCUAACCGGCUCAAUCGGUUUCUACGCAUGUUUAUGGUUUGUCAGAAAAAUCUACUCCUCAGUGAAGAUUGACUGAUUAGAGUAAGCGACAUUACUUUUGAUGCCUCUUGAGGUUUGUUGGAUGGUUUAGUCGUAGUUGAAACAAAAAAAAAGUUUACCAAAUCUUUGUAUUGUUUUGAUGAAUGGAUCCUAUAUUCAAAACAAUUUCAAUCAUACAGCCUACAGAGUUAUGCAUAUAACAACAAUAUAGUAAAGUUUCUCUUAUUUAAAAGAUAGUUUAUGCUUGGCCUCUUUAAUCAUUCUCUCUGUUGAAGAACCACUUGAAAAUCCUAGCUUCUGCAUCAUUUCUUCCAAUCUUUUCCCGUUAGAUAGAUACAGAUAUCCAAUCUGAUAAAUUGAACAAACAACGGAUUUAACACAAGGUAAAAAGCAACAAAUUUGUAUUAUUUACUUGUGAGUUUCAAGCUUACUAGUGUUUCCAAUGAUGAGGCCUUGUUGUAAACAGCCACACCAGCACGCCUAGUUGACCGUGUUUUAACCGAGCCUACAUUUUUUCCCCACCGGAGGACAUCUCUGGAGCAAAAAUUUCCAUCACAUCGAUCAAUAUUUGCUAACUCAAACAAAAAAGCUUGGAACUUGUGUAUUAUGUGAUUUCAAUAAUUAUAAUGUUUUAAUAUCUUCAUGCAUCUUUCACACAAAUGGAGAGAUGGUCUAAGACAAAAAUCUUGAUGCUAAAAUAUGUAUGAAUGUGCCUGCUAAAUAACAGGUUUUUGCAACUGACCUUUCAUCUUUCGUUAAGAAAUCAUCAUCAACAAGCUUCUGCAACAAAGCAUACUGAAAAAGAAAGACACUGAAUACUUUAGAUUCAACAAGAACAAUGAUAACAAUACCAAUGCUAAUACAUUUUUUCAGGUUAAAAGUAGAUGGAAGAGAGACACAACAACUUCACACAUAGAAUGAUAUCACAAACAUAAUAAUGUGAACAAAGAUACAUGGAAGUGAAAGCAUGUAUUGUUAAUUUCUACAAUGAACAUUAUAGCAAUUCACAAAAGGGAAGAAAGAUAAACUAACGUACCUGUGCUUCACAUCGAACCACUGCUCUAACACGGUCGUUAUAUUCUUCGAUACUAAGUGGAGGGAAAAGAAAAUGCCGACGAGCAUAUAUCUUCAAAACCAAUAGAAAAUGGUUAAAGAUAGAAAAUUGAAUGGAGUAUCAACAGAGUGUCUGUCUUAAUGUCACAAACACUGUCAUCUUAACAUUGUCUAAAGUCACAAACACAAGCUCAUGGUGACUAUCUUAGAGCUAUAAACUUGUCUAAAAUCAGGAAGCUCAAACUCAUAGUGAUUCUUUACCGCUAGAAAUACUAAAAUGAUCAUAAUUUGACAUACUUACAUCCACUAACAUACGAAAAUUGAAACAACUAAGUACAAAAGCCUUGUAUAAAAUCACUGAAGAAACAAACGAAAAUUGGAAUUGAAGAAGACUAACCUCGUAGAUUGAAUCGCCUAUAUAAGCUAAAGAAGCAGCAUUGAAAACAGAUCUAGGUUUCUCCACUUUUGGUGGACUUGGAAACCAUUUCUCAUAUCCAAUACAAGGAUCAUCAAAUCCAUCACCAAUGUCUAAACACAAAACCAGAAAUUUAGUAAGAAUCUUGAACUGAACAAAACAAAAAGGAAUAGUUCUGAACAGUUCUUCAUUGAAUUCCGAAAAUUAUAGAAAGUAUCCCAAUACGCUACCUUUGCUUGCGGGACGUUUGAGCAAAUCAGAAGCGGAGACGCUUGCUUCAGUUGUUAAGUUUGUCGCCGGAGAAGAUGACGACGGAGACGGUGGUGGCACAAAAGAGCUCAAAUUAGGGGUUUUCUUAACGUUUCGCGGCGCAUUGGGAUUGUAUCGGAGCUUCGGCUGUGUAUCUAAAGCAGCUCUCACGAUAGUAGAGCUCGCUGAUAAAAUCGCCAUUGUUUUUUAAAAAAUUCAGCUUUUUUUUCUCUCCCUGUUUUGACGGUAAUAAAGAUGAGGCGGUGACUUUGAUUAAUCCACGUGGCGUGUUUUUAUUUGUUUGUUUGACAAAGAUAAAUACAGACUAGCGUAGUUUUAGCAAUACGAGCUUGUCUCUCUCUCUCUCUUCUGGCACUCUUUCUCUGUCUCUCUCGUCCCAAUUUGUAAAACCCUAACGACUAGAUUUCAGUUUCCCGUAACUUAUUUUCUCAACUUUCCGAUCAGAUUUCUUAGUCGGAGAUACUGAUUCGGCCACCAUCAUGAGUCGCUACGAUAGCCGGACCGGCGAUUCCACCUCUUAUCGUGACCGUCGAAGGUAAGUGUGUGUUUGCUUUCGUAUUAAAUUCGACUUAAUUGCUAGUGUUGCUCUUUGUUUUUGAAUCUGUGAUUGAACGAGUAUAAAGAAAAUUCUCUUAAUUAUGAUCGAAUUUCUGGGCUUUAAACGAAGAUUUCUGUAAUAUAAUGAUGCGUUUUCAAUUCUGUAUGGUGUGUUGGAGAAGAAGAGUUUGCUUCAUUUUCAAAUUUGCUUGUUCUUAGUGACUCAGGGUUUGGUGGUACUUCAGCAUAUGGGAGUUCAGGUAGUCAUACAUCUUGCAAAAAGGAUACUGAUGGCUCUCCAAGGAAGCUAGAUUUAGAUGGUUUGACUCCUUUCGAGAAGAAUUUCUAUGUCGAAUCACCCGCUGUGGCUGCUAUGACAGACUCAGAAGUGGACGAAUAUCGUAAGCUGAGGGAAAUUACUGUUGAAGGCCGAGAUAUUCCCAAACCUGUCAAGAGUUUUCGUGAUGUUGGCUUCCCUGGUAAACUUCUCUAGCUUGACUUUUGUUUCAUUUUCUUUCGGCUCUUGAAUUUGGCAAUCAUGUUAGGCAUUUAUAGACUGUAAUCAGUUUCACUUACAUGUCUUUAUAGACUGUAAUCAGUUUAACUUCUCUAGCUUGACUGUUUUUUCUGUGUGUGUGUAUACAUCUACUGAUAAGAAUUUCCUGAUCGCCCCAGAUUACGUUUUGGAAGAGAUUAAGAAGGCUGGUUUUACUGAACCUACGCCUAUACAAUCUCAGGGGUGGCCAAUGGCAAUGAAGGGACGUGAUCUUAUUGGCAUUGCUGAAACUGGCUCUGGAAAGACUAUUUCCUACUUACUACCUGCAAUAGUCCAUGUGAAUGCCCAACCAAUUUUAGGUAAUGCUUGUUCCUGCUCGUUAAGUUAUUUUUCUUCCGGUUCUUGUUUGAUAAGUUGUCAAGGCUUUACUGAUUCAGAAUAAUUAUUCUCAGCUCCUGGGGACGGCCCAAUCGUCUUGGUUCUCGCUCCGACACGUGAACUGGCUGUGCAGAUACAGCAAGAGGCAUCUAAAUUUGGCUCAUCAUCAAAAAUUAAGAGUACAUGUAUUUAUGGUGGGGUUCCAAAAGGACCUCAAGUGCGAGAUCUUCAGAAAGGUGAAGUACUUUGACUCCUGCUUUUCGUGACAUUUCUCAAACUAUCACUCUUCUUACUUUCUUUUUUGUGGAUUAUUCUGAUAGUGAUUAUUGGCCUAUGAUUUAGGUGUGGAAAUUGUUAUAGCUACUCCUGGGAGGUUAAUAGACAUGAUGGAGUCGAACAAUACAAACCUGCGAAGGGUUACUUAUCUUGUGUUGGAUGAGGCUGAUCGAAUGCUGGAUAUGGGGUUUGACCCUCAGAUUCGGAAAAUUGUUUCACAUGUUCGUUUUCUUACUUCUGUCAUGGUCACAUAUUGACAUAUAUGUAUAUCCUAGUUGCCCUCUCUUUAUAUCUUUUUUAACAUGUGCAGAUUCGGCCAGACCGUCAAACUUUGUACUGGAGUGCUACUUGGCCUAAAGAGGUCGAACAACUAUCCAAGAAGUUUCUUUAUAACCCGUACAAAGUAAAAGACUUCUCUCUUAGGAUUCUCAUAAUGGUUUAGCAGUUAACAAAAAGUCAAAAACUAAGCAUGCUUCUUUUGUCUUAAGUGCAGGUGAUAAUAGGAUCUUCUGAUUUAAAAGCUAACCGUGCAAUUCGUCAAAUUGUUGAUGUCAUUUCCGAAAGCCAAAAGUAUAACAAGUAUGUCUCCUUUACCUUUGCUUAUCCUGCCUCUAUCUCAUUUCAGUUGUCAUGGAAAUUGAGGUGAAUCAAAACUAAUCUUUGCGAUAUUUCAGAUUGGUGAAGUUGCUUGAAGACAUAAUGGAUGGAAGCAGAAUUCUUGUCUUCCUUGAUACAAAAAAAGGCUGUGACCAAAUCACUCGUCAGCUUCGCAUGGAUGGCUGGCCUGCUUUGUCAAUACAUGGUGAUAAAAGCCAAGCUGAGAGAGAUUGGGUUCUCGCGGAGUUUAGAUCAGGCAAAAGCCCUAUAAUGACUGCUACAGAUGUCGCAGCUCGUGGAUUAGGUACAAAAUCGUUUUCUUCUUUGAGCGCAACAUCAACUCUCUUCACCAUGGUGACAAACUUAACAAUGUCUUUUGUUUUGAACAGACGUUAAAGAUGUAAAGUAUGUGAUAAACUAUGAUUUCCCUGGAUCACUAGAGGAUUAUGUUCACAGAAUUGGAAGAACGGGUAGAGCCGGGGCAAAAGGAACAGCUUACACUUUCUUCACAGUUGCAAAUGCGAGAUUUGCCAAAGAACUUGUCAACAUACUAGAAGAAGCUGGACAGAAGGUGAGCCAUGAAUUGGCUUCAAUGGGACGUAGCACCGGUCCUCCUCCACCAGGUCAGUUAACAACAAGCAAAUAUCUUGUCUUCAAUAUAUUUGGGGUUGUUCUGAAUUCUGAUACACUAGAAAACACAAAUAUGGCUUCAUCACAAGAUGUGUCAAAAUAUUGUAGGAACCGGCUCAAGUUAUGAAAUUUUAAACAGGGUGUUGAACUUGAUAAUUAAUAACGAGGGUUCAUGUUGUGGAAACAGGACUUGGUGGAUUCAGAGACCGUGGGAGCAGAAGAGGCUGGAGCUGAUCACUGAUUAUGUAGUAUGUUGUUAUAUGGCUUUAGGGCUCAGUGGUUUUUUUUCCUUUUUACUGUUUUGUUCUUAAUAUUUGGCAUUUGCAGCAAAACAUUAAAACAUGUAAGAUAAACAUUUGUUCUGAUCAUCCGAAUUAGCGUAAGAUAAACCAAAUAUUUUCAGAAAACCAAAAUAACAAAUCUUCGUAGUUAAAUAAAAAUUAAACCGGAAAUAAAAAUUACAAUCCACGAGUAUUUGUAAUUAAUUUGUAAAAACAUUUCGAUCUAAAUGUGUUGAAUUAAAAAAAAUUAUAACGAAGUAAAUCCCUAAAUAAAACUUGAAGCACAAGAGAGGAAGAAGAAGAAGAAACGGGACAGUUUACAUUUGCGAACACAAGUAAGAAACUCUAUCUGGGUUGAUCGAAUCGAGUCGCCAUGAGUGAAGAAACUCCUAAGCUUUUCACCAAUAAACCCAAGAAGAAGGGUAACAACUUUAUAUUUUAAUUACGCUAUUUUUUUUUUUGGGGUUUUCCGAAGAAGCUGUCGCUUUUUAUCCCCAGCUCACUCAACGAAUCAUUCACAAUUUGUUUUUUCUGGAUUUAUAUUGUUUGACUUUAUUUGUGAUGCUCUCUCUCAUUAUUUGCGGAUUGUGAUCUGUGUCCAGCCAUUAUUGCUCAGCUGAAGCACGUUGAAGCCAAUUUCAAUAAUCCUUCUACUGUUCCUCCAUCAUCGUCAGCACCUUCUCCGGCUGCUGCUGCCGCUGCUUCCUAUUCCAUGGGUGGUGCUCCUCCUCCUCCUCCCCCUCCUCCCAAGCAAUCGUUCGCUCGGAGGUACAAAUUUGUAUGGCCUGUUCUCCUUACCGUCAAUCUCGCCAUCGGAGGUAAUCAUCACGUUUUCUCUGAUUCCAAAUUAGGGUAAUGAUUUUGCUGGUUUCGAUCAUUUCGCAUUGGUUUGCGUUUCUCUUCUUAUGGCUGAUGCCUAAUGGUAGUAGUAAGAGUUUCUUCUUGUGAAGUUAAAAGAGUUUAAUUAGAAUCAUUUAGUUUUUUUUUUUAAUCAGCUACAAAGCUUGAAGCACUGAGAUGAUCUGCUCCAGAUUAUGUGUUGUUAUGUGCUAUAUGAGUUUUUGAUUGAUGCCUUUUUGUGAUCUUUAGAUUUUGUUUACUGUCUCUACUGAUAAACACACUUUGACUGCAUGAUUUUGCUCAUCAUUUUACUUUUAGAUGCAAACCGUAACGUUAUCUAUAUAAAACCUGUAUCGUAAUGUUGCAGACUAUUUAUUCUUAAGGUUCUCUGCUUGUACUUUGUCCCCUGCUGAAGCAUGACUUAUCCUUGUUUAUGGAUAACCUUUUUCCCCACAUCUGAUUUGUUUUUUUUUAAUCCUUUUGAUAUUAGGGUGUAUGAUGUUAAGAGUUGUAUAAGAUAGUUACAUGGAUACCUAACCUGGCGCCGUUGAGAUUCUUCCUUAGAUAGUUUCUUUGUUCCUGAUCUUGGAAAUACAAGAUUCAUCAACUCUUUUAUAUCUAUAUACCCUAGAACUGUGUUGAAGUUACAAUCUUUAUGGAAAUGCCUUUACAUAGGCUUUCAUGUCAAAUACUGAUGGUUCUUUACCUUAUUCGUUUUGCAGGUUAUCUUUUCAUUAGAACUAAGAAAAAGGAUACAGAUCCUGUAAACGAAGAGACAGCUGCUAAAUUGGGUGCAGUUGCAGCCCCUGUUACUGUGGAAAAGACUGUGUCUUCCGCGGUGGUUGCAGAGCCCGUGGUGGUCAAGGCACGUGAGCCAAUUCCGGAGAAACAACAACGUGAGCUCUUCAAAUGGAUGUUGGAGGAGAAAAGGAAAGUAAAUCCUAAAAACGCAGAAGAGAAGAAACGGAUUGACGAAGAGAAAGCGAUUCUGAAACAGUUCAUAGGCUCCAAAACCAUUCCUACUCUCUGAUGAUUAAAGUGCAGCUUCUGUUGAUUUUAGUUUGGUUUGGUUUCUUCAAUUCUUACUUUGUGGAUAUCAGAUGUUUUGCUUUUGGAAACCUUUUUUUCUCGUUUCAAUGUUGAAAUCAGCCACUUUGGUGUCUUCAGUUUCAUUCAACGUUGAUGACCCAUGGUUCGGUCUUGUGGUUUUGUGAAACGGUUACUGCUAAAGAAAAAGGUUCGACUUUUUAUGGGCUAAACUUUUUACGGACACCCUUCAAAACUGAAAAAACCCAAAAUUAAGAUUCAACAAACUGUUGAAGAUUUGAUAUCCGAACGCCCAUAUAUACAUUUAUCAAUCUAUUUUAUGAAAGCCCAUUUAAAACCCAUUUGAUAUAAUGACGUCGUUCUUACGCUGACAAGUUUGAAGUUAACCUUCUUCGAGGCUAAGCUCAAGAGAAAACAGAAAGGUAGAAGACGAUAUCCCCUCCGCGCUCUGUAACUCAGGAAAAGGUUCUGACUCUUUUUUUUUAUAUAUAUUUUGUUGGGGGAAAUUCACAUUACUUAGAUUGAAUUGCUCAAUUGUGUACAUAAAAUAAACUCGAAAUCCCCAUAUAUAUUUAUAUUAUGCUCAAUUGUCUUGUUGUUGAAGCUGCGAUCAAUCUAGGUAUUAGGUUAGCUUCAUUUUUCUUUACUUGAUUUAAUCCAGCUGCGAAUCAAUCUUUUCAUGUUUCUUGAAUGUGAGAGUGAUGAAUUUUGAAAACGAAUUUGGGUAUAUUUGAAUUUUGCUGUUUUGUUGUUGGCUUGAGAAGGUAAAUUCUGAAUGUCUGGAAGAAAUCGAAUUCACCGAGACAGUUAUCAUGAUCAUCGGCGUGAUUUGCCUCCGGAGAGACCCUUUCUCCGAGGCCCUCCAUUGUUACAGCCUCCUCCACCAUCUUUGUUAGAUGAUCUUCAGAUACAGGAGGUUGAAAUUAGAAGGCUUUUGAAUGAUAAUCACAGACUUGCUGAGGACCGAAUGGUUUUGGAGCGAGAACUCGGUGCUGCUAAGGAAGAGCUUCACCGAAUGAAUCUCAUGAUCUCUGAUCUUCGUGCUGAACAAGACCUGCGGUCGAGGGAGUUCAGUGAGAAAAGGCAUCAACUUGAGGGGGAUCUUCGUGCUAUGGAGUCUUAUAAGAAGGAGGCUUCCCAGUUGCGUGCUGAACUUCAGAAGCUAAAUGACGUUAAACGUGGAUUAAGUGGAGAUGUUCAGAUACUUAGGAAAGAUCUGGCUAAAUUGCAAUCAGAUAACAAGCAGAUUCCCGGUAUGCGAGCUGAGGUUAAAGAUCUGCAGAAGGAGCUUAUGCUGGCUAGGUAUAAGAUUGAACCUUUUAUCAAUCAUUCUGUUAGAUUUUGUUGUAGUUGGUAUUUCAAUGCAUAGACAUCUGGUUUGGGUCGUAAAUGUUAAAACGAGGUUUUUUUCUCUCUCCUUUGGAACAGAGAUGCAAUUGACUAUGAAAAGAAGGAAAAAUUUGAGCUUAUGGAGCAGCGGCAGACAAUGGAAAAGAAUAUGGUCUCUAUGGCGCGCGAAGUUGAAAAGCUACGAGCAGAACUUGCUACUGUUGAUAGUAGGCCGUGGGGUUUUGGUAUGAUCUUAGAAUUUCUUGGUACAUUUGGUAUUUUCAUUAAGUCACUAACUGCUUUUGUUGUGAUAUAUUAUGUGUCCAGGUGGAUCAUAUGGGAUGAAUUACAACAGUUCGGAUGGCGCUUACCGUGGUUCUUAUGUCGAAAAUGAUAGUUUUUUGGUACUCAUGCUUACAUCCAUGUGUAAGUUUAUGUAUUCUUGUGGGCUUUUACUUUGACACUCCUGUAUUCUUUUUUCUUGUUUCUUAGGGAUCUUCGGAAAGGAGUCAAUAUUACAGCCAUGGGUCUGGCUCACAGAAGAAGCCUCGCUUGGAUCGCCACUGAAAUCUAUAAAUGAUUUUGUGGAAAAUGAAUGAGGUGACAACUAAAUUUCCCACUUCACAACACUCCUCUGGUUGUUUGUGGGUAUGCAUCUACUCUAAAUCUAAAUGUUAUUUCUUCUGCUUUCUCAAUAAGGCGUUAUGAUUAUGUAACUUAGAUGGUUUUUUAAUUUUCAUUUUAGCCAAACUUAGAUGGCUAAUCUAUUUCAGUAAUUUGACGAUUUGGUUCCCUCCUGUUUGCUAUUAGAUGUGUCAUAUUUAUCCUUCUUAUUCUUUUGCUCGUAUUCGUUGCAUCCUGGUUUUAUUAUUUGUAAAAGAUAAUUCCUCUGAUAGAACACCAGAGGACUCUACCAUUGUACCAGUAAGUUUGAGAAACCAUACGCGCACUAACAAGAGGGGAUUCUACUGGCAUCCCCUCCUCUUUUUUUCAAGCCCAAACUCCGUCCUUCUUAUGUAUUUGAAUAAAAAUCUGGUGAGCUAACACCUUUCAAAGGGGUUAUAGGCUUUAGAAAAUUGGUAUAGAGAGAGAUUUGAGCGUAAGUUAUUUACUGUGGUAACAUUUUUUGGAGAAACACAGCUGCAAUUGCUUGUUUCUGGAAGCAGAAAGAGGGAUAACCAGAGACCAUUGUUGCUAAGUAGCAGUGUCAUGUGUGUUUCUACUAGAUUUUAGGGCUACAGGAGAAGCUCAAUUAAGGCGUGAAACCACUGUAAGGACUUCCAUUUCUGGAUUGUGCCAGGAGGCAACGUUUCUCUCAUUGAAGUGUCUUGAGCUUGCUUUUUCAAGCUCAUGUUUGUAGUGUCAAUAUUGAUUCAAUUGGGAAAGGGAAUUAGGCACAUACACUAUCGGAGGAACAGAGACAUAUUGAUACUCUAUGGCCAUCUGACCACAAUGAGUGGCUUCUCAGAACUCAUUCUGGGUUCAUGCCAACAGAAUUCCAUCAGCAGCAGCAGCAAAGACCAGUCUUUGAGGUUCAUCUAGGUCAAUAUGAGCGGGAUCUUUCAUUUCAGGAAGACCUUUAACAAGGAUUAUUCGAGAAGGGUUUGAGCGAUCAGCAUCCUUACCACUGCAUUAGAGCUGAAUCUAGGUCAAUAUGAGCGGGAUCUUUCAUUUCAUGAAGACCUUCAACAAGGAUUGUUCGAGCAGGAUUUGAGCGAUCCGCAUCCUUACCACUGCAUUAGAACUGCCCUUCUGGGAUCAGGCCAACAGAAUUCCAUCAGCAGCAGGAAAGACCAGUCUUUGAGGUUCAUCUAGGUCAAUAUGAGCGGGAUCUUUCAUUUCAUGAAGACCUUUAACAAGGAUUGUUCGAGCAGGGUUUGAGGGAUCAGCAUCCUUACCACUGCGUUAGAGCUGAAUCUAGGUGUUGUGAGUGGUUUUGGACUUGGUCAGGAUUUGGAGUUGCAGGCAUCGAUGGAUUGACAAAAUCUACUCCUUGUUUCUACCAUCAGAAGCCUCGUGCGCCAUUAGGUGUACCACAGUUUUCACUUUUGAAACUAGAUGGAAGGCCGCUGGUCUGGGGUGAAUCUCAAUUGAAUAUUGAUUCUGACCAACAAAAAAUGAUGUUAGAAGUUAGGAGGCCUGGUGAAGACAUCAACUCAUAGAUGGUUAAUGGAUCUAUUGAAGACAAAUCAAAGCGACCUUCAUGGAGUUACUUCAUCAAAGACAUGGUAAUCAGUCUGCAUAGUUAUCUGAGUCUUUCAUCAGCUUUUGGGUCUUCUGCAUGCUCUGAAUGGGAAGGCCAACAGGUUACCACGAGAUGGCAAUUAUCUGCCUAGAUCUAACCUGAGAUAAUUCCUUGUUUUUUAGAAAUAUUGAAGGUGGUCAGAAUUAUUCUGAAACGUCCAAGACAGACAUUCUGAUGCAGAAGUUUAUUUCUAGUGAUAGAACUUUCAUGAUGAGCGAAAUUUUACAAUGAUGCAUCCCUGGAAUCUUAUUGGUUGGUUGACGAAUAAUUCUGGGGCACCAGCUGCAUUUGUAAGUGGAAUUUUUCAGCAUUGAAACACUCGGUAGCAACUUUCUGAAGAAAUCUAUAGUCUUGGAGUACCUUCUGCAUCUCCUUUGAUUUAGUUUACCUUCAGAUAAAGGAACCUUUCCAUAAAUCAAGAGAUGCCAAUGGUCUUGUUGACUAUGUUGAUGGUUGAUGCUACAUCAGAUUUCCGGGUAUGCUCUUUCCAAAGGAUGUUGAUGAUGUGUGUUACUGAAGACGGUCUUCCUACCAAGUUUGGAGACAGGUAUAUGAUCUCUCUAACAAAACAUUCGUUAUGAGGAAGUUUGAGUUUGCUAUGUUAUUAUAUCUGUUAGAGGUUGGCUAUCAUUGUCUUUUAUAUAGGUCUUCAUAUAUCUCUUAAGAUUUCACUGUGAUAUUUUGGUAUAAAUGUUAUCUAUACACAAUUUCAUCUUGUUUCUAGUUUUUCCAAUUUGGUCUUGUAAUCUUUAUAAAGCUUGCGACAGUGGAGGCUGAAUCGGGAAUUUGUGACACUUUUCUAGAUUUCACAUUAUUAUCUUUAUAUAUAAGAUGAUGUUGAUGAAAAUGAGUUACUGGACUGAUGGAGAAGUAGCGGUUCUUAAAGAUGGUUCACUACAUUAAUUUCUGGUUCGGCAUGGAAACAAAGUUCUUUAGAAUUGACUGGAAAUGAUUAUUUCAACCAUGUUAACUUUCGGGAGGCUGCAAGAGAUCUAUAGAUAAGAAUACAGGCAAAGGUAUUGAAGAUAACAAAUACAUGGGAUUAGCUCACUUACUCCUGGAGUUGACUGCUACUUUUGUGGGUUUAAGAUUGAUAUGAAAUUAGAUGGUGUAGGUUUUCCUAGGAUUAUAAGGUUGUCGCUGAUAAAUAUCUAGAGGCUCUUUACCCUUCUCUAGCUUUUCUGCGGACUCUGAGAACUAUCCAAAGAGAGAGUUAGAAACAACUUACAUGUUUUGAAAAGCUUUCCCUCAUAUGUUCUUAUCAAGGACGGAUGGAAUAGUAUUGGAACUGUAUGUAGACUCCGAAGAUCAGCAUAAUUUAGAGGAAGAACAAAAGCGUUAUUCUGGAUCUGCAAGUGCUUUCAAAGAUUCAAGCUUCAGUAGUGUGAAUCUUCUUGGAACGGUACAUGGUGCGGUCCAUUUGUUCUCAGCCAUUGGAUAAGCUUGGACACAAUAGGAAAAGAUUAUCCUUGACCCUCGGCCCUCCAUACCCGUUUACCUAUUAAAAAUUAGGUGUAGAGAUCCUGUCCGUUGUGUCACUUAGCAUUGUAUCGUUGCAUAAAUAUUAGCUAUUAAAAGCUGCUCGUUUCUUGGUUUAUACAGCUUUUGAUUAUUCUUUUCCUUGUUGCAGGCGAGAAAGCUUGAAAAGAAUAGAACCCACGACCAUUCAUCUACAAGUUGGUACAGACAAAGAACCAGAAAGGUUACAACAGAUACCAGUAAGUGUGUUAAUCGUUAGAUACAUCUUCUCAUAAUUUAACAUUUAUAUGUGUCCAUCGGUAUAAUCAUAAUCCACUUGUUAAAAUGUUUAUUCAUUCAUAUGUAUUUCAAGUUAUGAUCUAAGAAUGAUUCUGAUUCGGAUAUAUUCUUUCAGGUGGUGAGAACAGGAGGAAACAUCUUGGACCUUUUUCCUUUCACCAACGUCUUGGUAUCAGGAAAUAAACCGUCUCCAACUUCCUCAAUUGCACCAUCUCUUCUCACACUAAUUGGAUACGCGACCAAAUGAAUGCCGAGCAUGUCCACAACCUUGUCUCCACUGUAAAUCUCCCACAUUUGCUCUGCUACUGUCCGUAACCCUUGGACACAUUCAAGACUCUCUGGCUCUGACAAUGAUAAGUCAUCCACCGUGAUCUGGCCACCGGUAUGCUCAUACCAGAGCGAUAACCUGUAAGCUCGGAUUUCGUUGGUGUUGUUUGUAUCGGUUUGGUAGCAACCUAUUGCAAUCUCGGUGUCCCGACAACCGUCCAUUGAUCUCUGAUUAAUAUUGGCUGAUCCCAUCAAAACGUAUGUAUCGUCCACUGCAAACAUACAACAAUUCCUUUGAUUCAAUUCUCAAUUGCUUAUGGUUUAUGGAAGUUUUUACGAAUUAUCAAUCUUUUUUUGCAUUUCAGAAUGGCGAGUUGUAGAUUGUUUGUUACCUAUCAUGAGCUUGGAGUGGACAUAGACCAUGAAUCUCCGAUUUCUCUGCGCAUUCCAAUAAUUUGUUUUCUGAUGGGGCAACGAAACUGCUUCAAACUCUCCAUCUCUCUUCUCUUCUCUGUUUGCAAGACAAAAGAAAUUUAAAUAAUCCCUCGGAUGUGAUCCGUCUCCAAUUUCCCAUAUAGCCUCUCCAAUGAUCCGAUACAUCAUCGACAUCGUCUCUCUCGUCCAAUGAAGUAUUUCUUCAACUGUUUCACUCUCGGGUGGCCCUUCUGGCCACAUUGGUAUCACUAUGUACACUGCAAAUCUCUCCCUUGCGCGUAUCUUAGCUGCUAUCUUUAACGCUAUUUCAACAGGUAUCAAGUUUGUGCAUCCGCUGCAGGAUUAGAUAUGAUAAACUAACCAGUUCAGAAUCUUGCAAUAGAUUAUAGAAGUUCUGUUACAAAAACUUACGUACCUAUCGCUCUUGCUUUCCCAAUGAUCACAGCUUCCCAUGAAAUACUGAUUCUCAAUGUAUAUAAACCUCUCAGCCUUCCGAAUUGCCGCAACAUAGCCAUCGUGUACACUCUUCUCUACCUGUAAACCUCUUGGCAUCUCUGUUGCCGAUAUGUGAUCUAUCGAUCUUAGAACUUGAACAUUCCAUUUCCGAUUAUUUUCCUCCGUAUGUCCGGUUAGGUUUACCAAGUUUCUGAUCCCUGAUGUGUUAACCAACACUGAAGGGUUACACUGUUUUGUCCAUCUCUGUUCGAAGUUCUUCAGAACAUCCCAAGCCGCUCCUCCGACCACAGACACAUGGCAAUCGUGCCAUGGCUCUCUUGGUCCGCCUUUACUUAGAUUUGCUCCGGCUACACUUGUCUGGUAAAAAUCAGCCUCCAUUCCAAGAGUACAAAACAGAGAAUGCUCCUCUGUAUCAUACCGACCAUCGCAAAGAUCAAACCCACCAAGGAAGCUCAUGAUCUCUCGCUCCGUAGUACUUGAGUUUGUAACACGUGUAUCCAAUGUGAUUGUCUUUUGGUGGUGCGCAAACGCUGUGGGGAGCUUUUUGUGCGAUCUUGGACACAAUCUACAAACAACAUUUGUGUUUUUGAAGUAAGCAAGGGCUGUUUCGGCGUUUGUUCGCAUUACACCUUUGUUCUUGAUCAUCGGUAAAGACGUCUCAUCGUUCCACAACAUUACUCUCACAGCUACGCCUUCCUCUGCUUUCCGUUUCAGAAGCUCGCCAAUUGUUACUCCAACAGCAUGCGGAAUCUCAGUCUCAUCAUCACGUACUAGAACAAGAUUAGGGUUUAAUGCCCAUCCUGCGAUGUAAACCAAGUGCCUGGCGCUUUCGAUUGCUUUGUAUACAUCUUCCCAUAAAUUUCUUGCAUUUAAAGGAACAUCAUGAACCCUAGGAUCAAACGUGCCCUUGUGGUGCGCAUCUUGAUAGAAUUCCACUCUACAGUUCGUUCUCUGAGGGAAGCUCGCAUUCAUAAUACCUUCAAAAGACUCUCCUUCAAGCGUUUUGCACCAUCCCGGUUCAAUAUAAGCCGGUCUGAACCACAUCAGACACUUUAGCUUCAAAUUACGUUUCUUUGACCCAUGGUCUGCAGUCAGAGGGAAGAAGUCGUUAAUAACCGCUGAAUUAGAAGUCAGGAUCUGUUCUGCAGAGAUAUGGAAUCUUCCAAGAACAGAACAUCGAGUCUUGAGCGUGAUGGUGAUGGUCGUGUCAGAAACCGGGUGUGCGCAGAGGACCUGAAAAGUCUGAUUCCAGACACGGUCGUAUUCUGAGCUUGUUUUAGCAACUUUCUUCUUGUUUAUCUUGAUGGUCACGUAAGCAGAUUUUGGCUUUGUACAUAUACACUGUGAAACAAAUAUAAACAAUAGCUCAUGAGAAUGAAGGAAGACAACGAUAACAUCAUCAUUGAAUGUUAUAGACUUACAUUGAAAGGAAACGGAGGAGAAAAAGGUGUUGCAUCGAAGAUUGUAAUCUCGAGUGUUCCAUGGAAGAACUUCUUCUGUUCUUCAAUCUCCAUCUUCUCUUUAUUCAAAAUCUAUCUUCAGAGAAUGAGAGUUAACCUUACUGUGAAUCUCAGAUAUAUGUUUGAAGCUGGUGGUCAAUUACAUUGAUCGCAAAGGUUGUGUUUUAUCCAUAUAUACUUUGUGAAUGUUUUUGGCAAAACUUGUAGGAUUCUCUAUGGACAAUCUUAAAGAAAACAAUCAACCAUAUAUUUCACAAUAAUUGAAGGUGAAGUGCCUUUGAAUACAAACUCAAGCCUUGGACUCUGGUUUUUACAACUAAGAAAUUGAAAAAGCAAAGUAUCAAAUUGUAUAUAAACAAAAGUUUAGGACUAAAAUGGAGAAAGUAUGAAAAUAUCUGGUGGUCUUUAUAAAAAACUCGUGGGAUAAGCCCUGUACAGCAAUAAUGAGUUUUUGUUAAACUAAUCAGUCUAAGUUUACUAUAUAGUCUUAAUCCUAAAAACAAAUAAAAAAAUAACUAUUUAGUGCUAAAAACAAAUAAAAAUGGUGUGAUAUAUUUUGGAAUCUGGUAUUUGCAUUAGAUAAGAAUUAUUACAAUAUACUGUAGUAAAAUUUAUGUAUUUAUUGGUUAUGGUUUUAUGUAUAACAACUACUUUUUACUAUAUGUGACAUUUAAACCAUUCCCUAAUAGAUAGGGACUGAGUACACAUUAAUAAAUUUAUAACAAAACUCUCUUCUUUUGCUCCGUUUGCUCUCUUCUCUCUCUCUCUCUCUCAAACGAAAAUGACCAGUUACGGCGCGAUUCCGACGUCGUCACAUCCAUCACCGGCGAUAGAUCUCCAAUACAUCUCACGCGCCAAACACCGUAUAAAAUCCGGACUCGCCACGCGCCGCCCAUGGAAAUCGAUGUUCGAAUUCGAAUCCAUGACUCUCCCGCACGGUUUCUUCGACGCGAUCUCGAGGAUCAAGACGAACCUCGGCUACUUCAGAGCUAAUUACGCCAUCGGAGUCCUCUUCAUCCUCUUCCUUAGCCUUCUCUACCACCCGACCUCGCUAAUCGUCUUGUCAAUCUUGGUCGUCUUCUGGAUCUUUCUCUACUUCCUCCGCGACGAGCCUCUUGUGGUUUUUAAUUACCAGAUCGACGAUCGUACGGUUCUCAUCGCUUUAUCGGUUUUGACGGUCGUGAUGCUCUUGUUGACUCACGCCACGUCGAAUAUUCUCGGCUCUUUGUUAACCGCCGCCGUCUUGGUUCUGAUUCACGCGGCGGUUAGAAGAAGUGAUAAUUUGUUUCUUGAUGAGGAAGCUGCGGCGGUCACUGAAGCGUCAGGGCUGAUGUCAUACCCUUCGUCAUAAAUGCCAAAUUUUUAUGAUCAUCAUCUUCUAAUUUGUUGUUGUUGUUUUUUUUGUAUCUUUGGGGUGUCAUUGAGAAAAACUUGAGAAUGUUCUUCUACUUUUGUUCAGUUUGUUUAACAAUUUUUACUAAUCACUCAUAAUUGCCAAUUAAGAGGACUUUGUUUAUUUAUACAAAAUCCUUGAAUUGAUCUUACUCACUAUACAAGAAAAGUGAUCAACGGAGCUUAAAAACAACAUUACAAUCAAAAUUAAACUAUAUCUUCUCAGUCUCUGCAUUUGCUAAUUCAGCUUUUGAAUUAUGAUCUCUGACCUCUCUCAAUCGAUAAUCUUCCACUAAACCUCCCUGAGAUUUCAUUCAUUACAAUAUCUCCUUCCAAUAAACGCAAUACCUUCAACAACAAAAAGAGACCAGUCACACUCAAGAGAGAUUUAUUGAAAACAUGAACAUGUUUCAAGAUUGGUGAGUUUCUUUACCUGAGACAUACGAGGACGCAGAUGUGGAUCUCUACGUAUACACAAUGAAGCUGUAUGAAUCAUACAAAUGACUUCUGUUUCUGAAUAUCUCUUCUCGAGCCUCGGAUCAACCAAUUCCUCAACCGCAUACUCUUCCAACAAAGACCUUGCCUGCUUACAAGAACAAUAUGAGACUCAAAGUUAGCUUAAAAGAAAGAAACUUUCAGACCUCAUCUUUUAUUCAAAAUGAGCUAAGGAGCCUUAAAAAGGGCAAUUUUUGGAUUUACCCAUUCAGUUAGACAUUGUUGUCCCUUUGGUCUGUAAAUAUCCAUUGCCUUACGACCCGUGAUUAGCUCAAUUAGUACAACCCCAAAUGAGUAAACAUCAGCUUUCUCUGUUAUUUGUCCACUUUGAGCAUAUUCUGGAGCCAAAUAGCUACCACAAACCAAACAAAACUAGUAAUUGAGAUACUAUAAAAUUCUUGAGUUACAGAAUGAUAUUUUAGUUCUUGUUUUUUCUUACCCAAAAGUUCCUAUCACACGCGUAUCUACACCAAGCUCUCCAUCAGGCUGCCACCGUGCUAAACCAAAAUCUCCAACCUGACAGAAAAUAAUAAAAACAGAAUUCAAACAAAUGUAUAAAAAGAAAAAUAGCUGCGAAAAGUGUUACUGAAGAUAAUAUACAUACCAGUGGUUCAUAAUCAUGAGUGAUUAGUAUGUUGUUAGGCCUCAUGUCUCUGUGAACAAUGCAACCCACUCUACACUCUUCAUGUAGAUAUCGAAGACCUCGAGCUGCUCCAACCGCGAUUUUCUGUCUUGCAGGCCAUCCCAAAGCGUCUUUAUGGCGACCUGAUAGGACAUUUCAUGGAAGUUAGUCAACUCUUAUCAAGUUUCUAACUUCACUUACUUCAACUCUAUAUAAGAUUUACCGUAUAGAUGAGAGUCUAAUGAUCCAUUGCAAAUGUAUUCAUACACCAAGAGUCUUCUGCCUUCUUCGAUGCAGAAACCGAUCAACAUUACUACGUUUCGAUGCUGAGCACAGCUCAAAACUUCGACUUCAGAGCAGAACUCUACAUCUCCUUGUGUGCUAGCCAAUUUGUGUUGCUUUACUGCUACAAUCUGGCCUUCAGGUAAUACACCUCUAUGAACAGAUCCAAAUCCACCUUCUGCCAAAAAAUUAGCUCGUGAAAACCCAUUUGUUGCAAGCUCUAACUCUUUGUAUGAGAAAAACCUUGGCGGUUUUCCAAAUACAGGCGUUUUGUGCUGACAGAUAGAACAGAGAGGUGGCGGAGGAGCAUUUCGUGAUAGCGAAAUUGUUUCUCUUAAGUUCCCACUAUAGUCCUCCAAGUCACUUCUUUUACUCGACAUAGCUUUUUCUUCUCCAUCAUCAAGCUUAGAAAUUUUCUCAAGCAACACCUUUUUAGUAGAUACUUGAGCAGGCUUAUCAUCAGUUUUCCACAGACUUUCCUCAGAUUCCUGCAAUGAUAGGCGACGAGUGCCAAGAUAUUCUGAUAUCCAUGGCUGGAAUCUCAUACUCGUGGAAGGCAGUGAUAGAUUUUCACUCUCUGAAUCAGAAUCGGAUUCACUCUCUUUGAUGACCAAAGUUUCAUCCUUUUUCACUUCCACCGUGAAAAAAGGCGAUGAUGUUCCGAGGUCAGAGCUAGAAACUGAUGAAGUCCCCGCUUCUGUUCCUGUGAAAGACGUCUCAACCUCAGGACUGCUCAUUGGAGUUGUUGUAACUCCCGCUUUAACAGAAUCUAACAACCUGUUUUUGUUCUUUUCAGAUGCUAGUUCCCGUUCUUUUGUUGGUGACCCGACCAAGUUCAAUCGCAGAACUUUUGCCUGAGAACGCUUCAUCGCCACAAUGUUACACUGUAGCUCGUCUAAGCACCGUUUCUCUUCAUGCUUCAGGUGCCUGUAAAAGAACCAUUCGACUUCAGAAAGAGUAAAUACUAAAGAAAUGAAGAAUGGAAAUAGAUGAUCUACUUACUUAUCCAGAACUACCCAAUUUGCUUGCGAUUUCUUGGCCUCAGCGGCAACAGCCCCACAUGGUGAUCCUGAAACAAUCUUGAUCCUGACAUUAACCUAUCAAAGAAACAAGCGUGAGAAUAAAUUUUGACGUUUCAGAGAUAUCAUUAUUUGAUGAGGGCCUGAUGAAUAAACCUUGUUUGGAUCAUAGACAUCAUGAAGCUGGAGAAUCAUUUGGGAACAAGUAUCAGUGAGAUCACUCUUUAUCUCAGGAUCUGCAUCAGAAUGCAAUUUCCGAUGACCAGUAGCACAAUCUCCAGCAAACCUCGGGAAAGUCCAUAGCUUUCGGCCUAACAAUUUCCAUCACAGAAGACCAAACAAAUAAGAUAAUGAAUAAAAACAGACGACACUAAUCUCAAUAAUUUAGCAGCAAAAGAAGAAAAAAUACCAGCAUUGUGAGAAGUGACAACAACAAUGAGAGUAAUGCAAUCUCCAGGUUUAACAAUAUGGGUCAGAGCCCAAACCAAUGCUGUCUUUGAGAUCUCUCUAGAUGCUUUAACAGCAACAAGAACAUUCUCAGUCCCAUUAGCAGCACCUAAUCUCUUCUCCCGCAUCAUUAUAGAGACUAGUAAUGCAAGAACAAAUCUCUAAGAUUCUUCUCUUCCCAAACGAAGAUUUGAUUUCUAAAUGAUCCUCAGAGAUAAUGUAGUUUCCAGGAGAGAUAGAUCCACUAGAUAUGAUUGCAUUAUUAUGGCAACUUGGAAACCGAGACAAAAUCAGCCAAACACACACUGGUUGAUCUGCAGAUGGAUACAAAACUCGUAGACAAGACAAGACCACUCACCCACUGAAUCACAUAAACUUCAAAACACAAAAUACAAGACCACUCACCACUUUUGAGAUUACCCACCAGCUUUUGGGGCAAACGCAAAUCCAAAAAAUCCUUGUACCCUUGCGAAUAAAAAUGAAAACUUUAAGCUGAAAAAUCUCCCCAAAGGAUCCAGAGAGAUGCUUAUCCUCUCAAUCCAGUCACUCAAUAGUCAAAUCACUGUGUAAAUGUUUCUCAAGAAACAGACAGACAAAGGAAAUGAAGCCUCUUCCUUUUUUUUUUUGGAUCUAAACACUUUUCAACAAGAGAAAGGGCAAAACACAAUUUAAUAAAUCUCUCUCUGCUUCAAUCAGCUUUCUACCAACCAUCAAAAUCACACCUACAGUAAGAGAGUGAGAUAAAUGAGCUCUUGAAACAGAAACUGCCAAAAAUAAGUAUCCUUUAGACUAGAUUUUGCAGAGAAGAGUAUAGCAUUGGAAAGAGAUUGAUACAUUAAAAAAUUAUAAUCCCCACAAGAAAACAAAACUUAUUUAGGAACAGAUGACACAAAUAAACUAAUAUUAUCAUCAAAAUCAUGUUGUACAACUGUAUCACAAGGAGACAUCAUCUAAAGUAUACUAUUACGAUAAGUCUCUCACCAAGCUAAGCACUCAUAUAUUUCACCGCCAUGAAGAAAAAAAGAGGGAGAGAUAAAAGGAAGAAGACACAAGAGUGAAACAGAAGGUUUAUUAAUUAUAAGGCUUACUUUACAUCAAGCAUUGAAAUUUUGAAAUCAGUAUCGUUAUGUUUUGUCUGACUUGUGAAAGUUUCAGCUUUAAACAUCCAAAGCACGUUCAUAGAGAUAGAAACAAGACAGUAUUAAAGAAAGAAAGAUGUAGAGAAGAUACAGUAUAAAUGCCUGCCUCAGAUACAAACAAGCACAAAAGCGCGAAAAAUGUGUUAUAAAAAAAAAAAAAAAAGGGGGGGGGGGGGGGGGUCUACCUUUUUUAGGUUUUUAGGGUUUCUUGAUUUUUGUCUACACAGCCAAAGACCCUUAUUAUAUCACUGUCUCUGUCUCUGUGUGUGAGUGUGUGAGUGUUAACCUGAACGAUCCAGUGAGUUAUGUACAAAAACAGUAUAUUAAAUAUAUUUUGCAGUAAAUUUUCUCAUUGGCCAAAGUAUUUUACUUAGAAAUAGCAUUGGACAGAUAGACAAAACGAUUAAUUAGUUUUUUCAACCUUUAGCUAAAACAUUAACUAUAUUUUCAUUUUUGAAAUUUUAAUACAGAACAAGUGACUUUUAACAGUUGCGUUAAACUAGACUAAACUCAAACAAAGUGGAAUGAAAACUAAACUAGACUCAAACAAGAUAAACAGUUGCAUAAUUGUGUUAGUGUGUGUGUGUGUCAUUGAUAGAGUUAUAGACAAGUCACCAUCAUAGGACCAUAAUAAGCUGCGUUUUCUCUGACCAGAGUCAUUCACUCUCCGAUUGUUAAAUAUCUCUACGGCUAUUUAUCAUCUCAGUCUCGUCUUGUCACACUUACUUCUUGAGAAGCCAAAUUAAUGAAAGAUAACAUUUUUAAACAUAAAUAUAAAAAAAAAAAUCUAAAGAAAAUAGAUACUACUAGUGUAAAAAGGUUAAUGUUUUAGUGGCGGCUGUCGCGAUUGGGCAAUGUGCUAUGCUCGCGACAAUGAAUAACACAAGGAUUAAAUUAGUGUCUCGUGCUAAUCAAAUCACCCUUAUCCUUUUUUCAAAAUUAAAAUUGUAAGUAAAAGACAAAAUUGUAGUUUUGGAAGGAUUACAGAAAUAUUUAUUUAUAAGAGUUUAGGGUCAAUGAAUCUGCGUGCUAUGUUUAGCUCAGAAUAUUUUGGGGAUCAAAGUUGACUAGUUUUUAUAUGUUCAAGUUCAACCUUCAAGGCAGCUCAUUGUCUCGUAGUUAAUUAAAUAAUUAGUCUCGAACUUUGUUUUGUCUUAUGUCUAAAUUUCAACAAGCCUUCUUGUUUUGCUAAUGUUUAAACAACACAAGUAUGCUUUUGUACAUUAUUUUGUAUCCAACACAUUUGAAAAACUAAUUUAAGAUGUGUCUACUACGUACACACCUUAAUGAAGCUAUUAUGAACGUGGAUCAUACGGUUAUCUUCAAAUUCUCAAAUAUCAAAAUAUAAUUCACAUAUAAAGGAUGUGGAAUCUGAUUAUGAAGAUCGUAGUAGCUUCAAAUGAGUUAUAAGGCUCGGGCAGUUUGAAGACAACUUUCAUGGCGAGAAGUUGUUUAAACAAGUUUGGACACCUUUUCUGCUUUUCGAUAUAACUUUCGUUCCUUUGUUGUUUGAUGAUGAAGUAGAUGUGUUCCUCCAGCCCUGUCUUAGGGGGAGGUGACAUAGGCAUUUGCCAUGAGUCCAAAACGAAAUUUUGAAAUUUUCUUAUAGUAAAAAAGUAUAAUUUUUUAAAGAAAAAAAUUUGAUAAGAGAUCUUAUUUUUCUAUUUGGUUUUGAUUUGGUGAGGGUGUUCAGACAUAUAAAGACAGAACUGGUUACCCCUAACCGUUAAUGUCUUUUUUGCCAAUACUUUAUUUCCUAAUGUUUUUAUUUGGCCAACACAUAAAUUUUUAGGAUUUAAUUAUCGCUAAGUUAUUUGUUGUUAGAAUUGUGAACCAAAGGUUUUUGAUUAUAAACAUGCUAGUUUUUCGAACAACUAGAGAAAUGGAGACAUACGCUAGUCAUUUGAUUGGGUUGAGAGUUAUAUUCCUAAUUCAUCAAUAUUUGUAUAUGGAAUUAAUUUGAAAAAUAUGAUAAAUCUAAAGACUCUUUUAUAGAACAAAAUAAAUACGAAUGUUUUUUAGUUCUUUUUGGUCACAGCUAAGUUUUCAUAUUUUAUUAAACUCCAACCCAUUCAUAUAUAUUUGAAAUACAUAUUGGUGAAAACAAAACAAUUUAUUAGUAAAUCUUAUUUUUUAAAAUUCCAAUAUAAAUAUUUUGGUUUUAACAGAGAAAACAAAAAAUAACGGAACCAUAUACAUUUGAAAAACAUCAUAACAAAAAAAGUAGCUAAUCGUAACAGAAAAAAAAACUACCCAAUUUCAAUUACUAAUCAAUAACAAAAACCAACUGUUCAUCGAUCAAUGCUACUCUAUAUAAGCUGCAGAUACAAUAAGCCAACACUCCUCAUUGUCUCUUAAAACACAUAUUAAUAAGCAAUCAAAUUGAGUUUUCUUCAUAUAUAUACCCUAAACAAUAGAAAAAAAUGACCAGCAUAGCUUCUACAUUUAAGACUUUGUGUUUGUGUCUCUUGUUCAUUGUUGUUGUAAGCCGUCCGACCGUUAGACCAAAAGUUUUCAACGUCAAACGCCAUGGUUCAAUACCAGAUGGAAUAACUGAUAACGCCAAUGUAUGUACACAACCCAUUUUUCUAAUUAUAUACAUUUAUCAAUAAUUUCUGAGAUGAAAAUCUAUGGAUAUUAACACAGUAAAUAAACAUAUAGGACCAAUAUCCAAACACAAAAUAUCUAUUUUUUAUUUUAUUAAUAUAUGUCAUAUUCUUACCGCAUAUUAAAUUAGGCAUUCACAAGUGUAUGGAGCCGUGCAUGUGCAAGGAGAAGUGGAAGUAGCAAAAUAUAUGUACCAAAAGGAACUUUUUACCUUGGUGGUGUAGAGUUCGUCGGUCCGUGCAAAAAUCCUAUUGAAUUCGUCAUCGAUGGAACUUUAUUGGCUCCUGGAAACCCUAACGACAUUAAGCAAGACACAUGGAUCAAAUUUAGGUACAUCAAUGAUCUUUCUAUCUCCGGUUUCGGUACACUUGACGGCCAAGGAAAACAGUCUUGGCCACUCAAUGACUGUCACAAAAACCCCAAUUGUCCUAAACUAGCUAUGGUAACAUUUCUUAAACUUUCCUUUUUGUUUAUAUAUGGCUCAUUUUCAUAAUAUGAUUAUUAUUUAAAGUCUAUUAAAAAAGGUGUGACAUAAUACUUGUACAUAUUAUUUUGAUAUAAAAUAAUCUGGAAACUCCUUUUAACAUAUAAAUUUGAAAUUUGCUUACAGACUAUGGGAUUUGCAUUCGUGAACAACUCAAAAAUCAAAGACAUAACAUCACUCAACAGCAAAAUGGGACAUUUCAACUUCUUCUCCGUCCAUCACUUUAAUAUUACUGGUGUCACUAUAACAGCUCCUGGAGAUAGUCCUAACACUGAUGGUAUAAAGAUGGGUUCAUGUAGCAACAUUCAUAUCUCAAACACAAACAUCGGUACCGGAGAUGAUUGUAUUGCCAUUCUCUCUGGAACUACUAACCUCGAGAUCUCUAACGUCAAGUGUGGCCCUGGACAUGGGAUUAGUGUCGGAAGCUGAGGGAAGAACAAAGACGAGAAAGACGUGAAGGGCUUAACAGUAAGAGACAUCGUUUUCAAUGGCACAAGCGAUGGUAUUCGGAUCAAGACUUGGGAAUCUUCUGCUUCGAAGAUCCUCGUUUCGGAUUUCGUGUACGAAAAUAUUCAGAUGAUUGACGUUGAGAAACCGAUCAACAUUGAUCAGAAGUAUUGCCCUUACCCACCUUGUAAACAUGAAAAGAAGGUUAAAUUUCUAUGCAGUAAUAUAUUUUCAUUUUCUUUUCUUUUAUCACAAGCAAAAUAAAAUAAAACUUAUCUUUUCUUCUUUGUUUUGUUUUUUCAGGGUGAAUCUCAUGUUCAGAUCCAAAACCUUAAGUUAAAAAAUAUAUAUGGAACAUCAAAGAACAAAGUGGCAGUGAAACUGCAAUGUAGCAAGAGCUUUCCAUGCAAAAACGUUGAGCUGAUUGACAUUAACCUACGACAUAAUGGACUUGAGGGUGGUCCUUCCACUGCAGAGUGCAGAAAUGUUGAUGGUUCUGCAAGUGGGAAGAUGGUUCCUAAGCAUUGUCUGAAUUGAUUUCACCUUCUAUCAAAACAAUGAGAUGUGUAGCAUAUGAAAUUUUCAUUUAUGUAUAAUUUAUCUGAUUAAUUGGUGUAUACGAUUAUGUUUUGUUGUUGUAACCGAAAUUCCAAACUGAUACAUAAAUAUGUACAUAUGCUUUCUGAUAAAUUAGCAUCCAUAAUCUACAUUGCCUGAAAAAUCGAAUUUAAAACAUACUGUGGAAACAUGAUUAACAACUGGAACAAACAAAUUAAACCAUUAAACCUCAAUCACAAAGAUUCUGUAUGAAUUCAUUAAAUCCGGUAGAGCUGAAGAAACUAGAUUGAACCAUGCAUACUCUAGUUUCAGUUUUGACUGGGCCGUUUGAGGGUCGAGAAGGGCACAAUCUUGAGCCCAUUAUUAAUAACAUCCAAAUAUAAUUCAAUAGUGAAACCCAAACACAUUUUUGUAUUUCGUAGCUUCUAGACGAUACGACGUCGCUUUGACUAAGUGUGGAAAAGCAGAACGGCGGCGUAUUAGUUGUUAUCCCCGAGUCGAGUCCACCUUUUUGGAUAAUCCAGCGGCUAUCGGUUCGACCCGACCGUAAAAAUCCCCAGAAAACAGCUUAAACCCUAAAGUGUCUGAUCUCGUCUUCUUCUUCAUUUCUUUGAUUCCCUUCCAAUGGCGUCUUCUUCAAAAGUAUGCAGAUUAUCAUCCAAGAUACAUUCUUUAACCCAGAAGCUUACCAAGACGAAUGUUCACGUUUCUUCCUUACCUUCUCCCAUUAAAACUUCAUCUCCAAUUUCAGCAUCUACCCGUUUCAGUCAAUCUUUUAGGUCAGUGUUUUUCAGGAAUCUUACUGUUAGAUAAGUAUCACUACACAUGUAUUGGUGUGAUCAUUAGGUCUGCAAAUACUAAAAGUCUGAAAAUUUCGGGAGAAUUGUUUUGAUGAAUUUGGUUAUUUUGCUGAAUUAUUGCGAUUUUGAUUUUGGAAUGUGGGGAAUGGUUUCACAGACUACCAGUGGAGCUAAGUAGCUGUUUAUCUAUGUUGCCACUACACAGUGCUAUAGCAUCUGCCAGAUUGAUAUCAAGUUUGUCUGUUGAAUCUAAGAACUGGGGUUUAGUUCCUCAAGGUUUGUCUUUUCAUCCCUUCUCUCUCUGUAACUAUUACAUUUUAAGAACAGAGGUGAAUAUCAAUCUAUUGGUUUGAAGAAUUGAGGACUUGUUACAUUUUCUAUAUCAAGAAGAUUCACAUUCUGUUGUUUCCCUGUGUUGCAGUUACAUCUUUUUUAAUCAUUGGAUGUUGUUUUUUCCUUGCGUGCUAGUUUUAGACAUUUGGUUGGUUAUACGGCAGUAAGUGUCAUCACGCUUACGUUUUAAACUGUGGUGUGAUCUGUUCUUGACAGGGAAAGUAUAUUUCUAGCUGAUUGAUAUAGCAGUAACAGGAGCCUGAUAGAUUGUGUUAACUUUGAUUUUUGGUAUUCCCUUUUCAACCCAUUUGUGAAUCUGAUGUUUUCUUUGUAUCAAUGAUAGUUCUUGCCUACUUUGACAUUCUUGGUUUGUUACAUGUCAUGGUCUACUUUGAUUGAAAUUUUUGUAUAUCAAGAUGUUUACAUGCGUUGGCAGCUCUAGUUUCAUUGUUACUACCUGGUUCCUGUUUACUAAAUUAGCAUAAAUUAAUUCAUCAGAGUUGGUAGUUGGUACUUUGUCGAUCGCUCUUAUCUUAUGGAAGCUUAUAUUUGAUAUGGACUUGUUGGUUAGCUUGAAUGCAUUUAAAAGUUAACCUUUUUAUCUGAAAUAUAUAUUGCAGGUAUUUCUAUGCCUUUAUGACAGUAUUUCAUCUUACAACAAGUUUGAGGGAGGAUAAAGACAUGAAAUGUAAACAAAACUCGGGUUGUAUCGUUCUUUUCAUCUCAUAUCGAAUUCGGAAGGUCCUGUAUUUAAAACAGGUCCUGACACUCUCUGUUUUAAAUUCUUUCAGUUUUGAGUUGUUUUCUGCUUCUUAUACAAAUUAAUGGGUUAUCAGCAAUUGAAUGGUCAGUGUGAUGUUUGAUCGUAAAUAUAUAGUUUUCAUUGCAAUGUCCGAUAUUUAACAUAUGAGUCAUAGAUGAUUAGACCCUUGUUUAAAUUGACAUGAUCCAUACAUUGUGAAAAGAAAAGAAAAAUCGAAUGUUUUGUGUCUGUUGGCAAGUAAAAUGUCUGAAAUACAAUUCAAUGUUCAUGGAAAUAGAAAUCAACGAUUAAUAUGAGAGGUGAGACCGUGAGAGGAAGCUUUCUUCCUCUUCUGCUACUUCUUCAUCGACUCGAGAGACAUCAUCGGAGAUCAAAGCGCGUAACUGGGAAAUAGAACGAGAGAGUUUGAAGCCAAAAGAUGUCUUCUGUUUAUUCAUCGUGAUCUUGGAAGAGAAUACGUCGGAAGAAGUGGAGAUGAUCAGAAACGCCAGAGCUUGGAUUAUCACAAACAUGGCAGCAUUUGUCAAUACUUCCGUCCACGAAGCCAUUUGAGUUUUUUUUUCUAAUACUUCAGCCGUUUUGCAAAUUUCACAAUGAAGAAAACAAAUGAUUUAAAGAGGCUUAACAAGGGUAGAGAUAUAUUGUUUUCAAGUUGUUUUUUUUUUUGCCCUAUUUUUUUUUAAAAUAGUGAAUUGAGUGUACGUCUUAGCAAUUACAUAAACACAAGCCUUUGCUCUUGCUUUCUAGUAUAAAAGUAAGUACGUGUAACAAUAAUUUAGACAAAUAAAUAUGUUUUUUUCCUCUUGUCUCUUGUUGAACAUGAGAAAUAAAUUUGCUUUAUGGUAAGAAAACAUGGAGGAUAGAGGAGGAAAAUGAGAAAAAGGCUCAUAUUUCUUGCUACACCAAGUUACUCCAUGUAGUUAAAAGGUCUUUCCAAUAAUCACCAAACAAUUCUAUUGAAUUCAAUAUCAAAUAAAAUAAAGCAGUCACAUAAGUUUUUUUUAUGUAAUAGAGUUCUCGAUCGAAUAUGUCAUUAUCUAAAUUUUAUGAUAAAUUGUUCAUUAAAUUUUUUUCUUUUCUUCUUGUUCAAUAAGUUUUGUAGAAUACUAAAUUUCCAUCAGAGAUUGUGUUAGAUUUUUUGAUAUAUCGCCACACUGAUAGAGUUUAUAAGAGGUUGUUCAUCGAAACAAAAAAAAACAUUUACUAUGCGAAAAUAGAUAAUUCGAUCACUGGACACUCAUAAUUUAAUUUUACUUGAUUUUCAUUUUUUUUGGUCAAAAAUUCUAAGAUGGUUUAAAUUUAGAUUUAUGUUAAGAUUUGAGACAAUAAAAAUAAUGGAGUUUUUAUAUGGUUACCAUUGGUUAACCAAUUUCUAGUUUAAAAUACAAAACGAACCACAAACUUCUAUAAUUAUUGCGUAGAAAGUUGUUGAUAUGAUGCACGUUAAGAAAAGAGAAAAUUAUAUAUUUUGCCAUGAACAAUGUAUAAAUUUGUAAAGAAUUCCACUUUCUUCCAUAUCUUUUCCCGGAUGCCAUAAGACUGAUGUAUGAAUACAUUUUUACCCUCUUCUUAAUAGAACCAAAUAACAAAUAAAAUAAGCAAUUAAAAUAUACUCUCUCACAUAUAUUCUGUCCUCUAUCGUUAUAUGUUUUAUUUUUCUUUCCCCAAGCUUCCAUUUCUCUCUUUCUAACCUUUAUCUCAUAUUCUCAAACUUCUUUCUCCAACUUUAUCUAAUAGACAUGUUAUUUUUCAAGAAUAUAUCUCAACCACGACCUAAUUUUUCAUAAAACAACAAAGGUCCUACAAAGAUAUUUGCGAUGGACUAAAUCCACUAAUGAACAUUAAUUUACUUUGUCUAUCGAAAUUAUAUCAUCUGAUUUCGUUGUCCAUCGAGUAGAAAUCGAUUAAGAUGUAAUAAUAAGGUAAUUAAUGGACUAAUUUCAUCAAUGUCCACUUCUAAUGGAAUAUUUAACUUUAUAUAUAUUUUUACUUAUUGUACAUAAUGGAAUAUUCCACAAAAGUUGUUCUUAGAGUUCUUCAAUGUAAAUUUCAAUGGACCAGAUCUACUGCACCUAAGAUGUCCAUCAACACAAUUGUCCAUAUGUUUUACUACUUAUCUAUUUGUAUUUGUCAUUCACCAGUUUAAGAAAACUUAUAUAAUUUUUGUGGAAGUAUAAUAACCAACUCACCCCGCUUCAGAGGACACGCAGUGGAGAAGUCUCUUGGAACCGUCAAAGUAAGCUUUCGAUGGACUAGAUCUUCUUCAUUUGUCCAUCAUAUAAAACUUUAGAGGACCAAAUUCCUAGUCUCAAUAUCCAAACAAGUUAAAUAGCAGAGUUGUCCACACGUCAGAGGACAUGCAGCAAAGUUGUCUCUUGAUAUUUUUCAAAUAAGAUUUCGAUGGACUAGAUCUACUUUAUGUCCAUCAUAAUAGUAGAGUUGUCCCACGUAUCUCUCACUUGUCCUUCAGUAACAACUAUUGAGAUCUACUUUUUUGUUUUAGAUUUACUUAUUAAACAAUUCAAUUAUCCUAUGGAUAAUAGCUUUACUUUAUCACCCAUUAAUGCUCACUGUACCCUGUCAAAAAUCCUGUCAAAUCGGCGCAAAACCUCUCCUCCUGCUGAGGGUAGUUUCGUCUUCUUGUUUCAUCCAUUUUCACUGUUUGUGGCACUACAUAAAAUGUCUAAAACAAAAUGGCAGUUCCAGUUUUUUUUGGUUAAAAACUGGCAAACCAUAUAAUAUUCCCGAAAAGAAAAAGCACAAUCUAACUAAUUAUGUAUUGAAGAUUUUUCACACUUGUGUCAUAAAGUUCUACCUUAAGAUAAUAAUGCUACCAAAACUUCUUAUAAACCAGAUAAAUUGAUGCACACAAUAUGUAUGACGUACCAUAUUAUUGAUGAUUGUCAAAAUUAAUAGAAUGAUUCAUUAAGGUGAAUUUGAUAAUUAUUUAAUCAUAUGAAAAUUUUUUGAACAUUUAAGGUACAAACCUGAGAAGACAUCUUGAAAAUUAAUAUAAUCCAUACAAGAAAAUGUUCAAUCUACCAUUAUCAUAUCGAUUAAAAAUAUAUUGUCAGUCCGAGGAAACAACAUCACAUAUGGGUUGGCAUGUAAAAUAUAUGAUGUGAGUCCUUUACAUGGUAAGACAUAGAAGCAUGGUAAGACGAUAUACAAUUAAUUUUAUCAUCUAAAAUAGUUUUCUUUAAUAAAUUUCAACACUUUACUCCAGUAAUUUUACUCUAUAUUAUUAUUUUUUGUAAUUACAUAUUAAUAACAGUUAUUGAUUGAAAUUAAUUUACAAAAGAAGAAAUCUUUCUUAAAUUUAUUAUCUUAUAAAUUUGUUUCUUUUUGUAAGUAAUAAGUACAAGAUAUAUUCAUUAUUAAAAGAAAUAGAAUCGGAGGUUAAUAGAAAACUAAUACUUAAAAAGAAAAAAAAAUUGUAUGUGUUCAAAUGAAACGAAACAAAUCUCUAUUUGUGAAGUAUGAAAAUAAUAAAUUUUGAUGUAAGGAAAUAAAAAUUUGAUUACAUGAAAUAAUUAAGUUUAAAUAGUGACCAACAAUAAUAGACCAUGUGUCUUAGUAGUCCUUGAUUUUAUCUAUUAGACUAGUUGAAAAAAUUCAACAUGAUUUAAUCCAAGUAUAUAUAUAUAUAUAUAUAUAUAUAUAUAUAUUAAAAAAUCAACAUUUUACUGGAUGAAUUCAACAUUUCCAUCGUACAUUGUUUAAGGCUCACACAUAUACUAUACUUAUAUAUAUAAAAUAAAUAGUUAUAUAAUUAUAUAACACGUUUUUUAUAGUAUUCGUUUGUAGCAAAUAACAUUUCAUUAAUCCUGGACAAGUAAAGUAAGAAAAGAAAAAGUCUAAAGCUACAAAAAGGUGAACCGAUAUUUACUUUGGCAUGUCUUUGUUUUAUGCAUUUCUAAGAACUUUCCAUUGGCCUGAAGACUCUCUGCUCAUCUUAUCUCUGAUCAAUCUAUUUCCUCGCAAAUACCCAUCUUUCAUCGGACACGUCGGGGUCGGGUAAUACUUUUUCUAUCAGUCCAACGACAUUAUGAAAAUCUACAUUUCCUUGUAUCUUCUAAUUGUUAUGAUUAAUUUUUUUCUAAUUUUCCAGCCAAAUGCCAUGAUGAUUCGAAAGAAGUCCCGUCGUGUUUUGUUGUUUCUCGCCAAGAUUUGUCAUUUCGUAAAUAAUUUUGGUAGAUCGAUCGAAUAUAUAUAUGAUCACUAAUUCACUAUGUAAUCGACUUGUUAAACAUGUACAAAAGAUAAUUAUUAAUAUAUAAGAUUUUCAGGUGGCCAUGAAUAUCUUAAUAUAUGUAUUAACAAUUACAAAUACUAUACAUGAAUCUUCCUUCACUUAGUUGUCAAAUUUUUAAUGUGUCCUUACUCUUUAGAAUGCUUGUGCCGACCACGUAAAAAUGUCGGUCCAAAUACGUAAACAAUAUUUAGGUAAAAUGAAAUAUAUUAUCACUUUAAACCACCUAAUAUGUUUUCAAAACCAAAAAAAAAAAAAAAAAAACUAUAUUAUUACGAACAACUCCAACGCACCACACAACACACCAUAAUAAAGCCAAAUGCCAAAAGACUAAGAAAACACAAAUAUAUCGAAAUAUGAUUUAUUAAUUUAUAACGUAGUCAAAUUAAAUAUACGAAACCGACAAAAAUAUCAUUAACCUCAAUAAUGCAACACGUAACAACUGUACUCAACAGUAGCAUCUCCGUUCUUGAGAUUAAUCCACUUUGUCCUAGCCUCCACAUAGCCUCUAGCAAACCGGAAAAGCCCACUUCCUCCGACGAUCGGCAUCUCUCUGACUUCCGACAUCGCCGUGUUCCGACCAAGGAUGGUGAUCGUGCUUCCGUUAUAUUUCCCUGUCUUGAAAGCAAAGUUCAUGGCCAUCAGGAAUCCCAACUCCUUUUGUGCCGCUCCGGCGUAGAACCCUUGAGCCUGUCCCAAAACGGUGGAGUUCAUCGGAACUUUCGCGGUCAAAGCGUUGUCGAUCAUAGAGAUGGCUCCGAAGUAGGAAGAGUUUGUAACCGGUGGCUGGAUCAUGAUGGAAGUUGGGUUUGGACCGCUUAAGAUGUCGUGCCAAUAGACUUUGAAAUGGGUUAGCUUCUCUUUUCUAUGGAGACCGAGAAGUUUACGGUCCAUGGUUCUAGCGAAGUCUUCGCCGUCUCCGGCAGAUGCAACAACUGCGAGGAGAAGGAUUUGGAGAGCGAAGAAGAAAAUGAGUUUAGCCAUGUGUUUUGUUUGUGUGGUUUCGAUCGGUACCUCUAUGGUUUUAUAUAAACGGUGUAGAGAACAAGAAGGUAUAUCAUGGUAUAUAUAUAAUGUCGAGUUUGUUUAGACAUCUUUCUAGAACAAUAGUAUUUUAGAUUAUAUAAUAGUGGAUUCGUUGAUUUUGUGAAUUAGUUAAAGAAAAUAUUGACUAGGGAAUGGACUAGUUUUUUUAAAAAAGUUUAUAAACAAAAGUUAAAUUCCAAUAAGUGUGAGAGGUUGAUGUGUAUUGGCAUACAUGUGUGAUAAUGCGUGUGAAGAAGUAUCAUAAUCAUUGCGUCAUCGAGUCGUAUGAUUUACGGUGAAGUCAUUCUCACAAACUUCUUUUUUGUAUAUAUAAAAUAUCACCUUUGUAACACGAAUAGGUAGUAAUCAUACAAUCAAAAUUAUCAUGGUAAGUGUUAAUUAGUUUUUCUAUUACGAUAAUUCGCAUUAUUCUUUUAAAUUAAGCAUAAUUUGAAUCAUUAUGGUGGACUGGUCCAUUAGGGAAUUCAAAAACAAAAAAAGAAAUGUUGAAUAUUUCAGUUUUCUUUUUUAGUUGGUAUCAUAGGGUUAUGGUGGCUAUCAUUUUCCUGAAGGUGUGUUAUGUAUCACGCUUUUGCUUUAUUCGAUUUCUUUUUGUUUUCUAAGAAAAAGUUGGCAUUAAUUCCAUUCCGAUCUAUGCUUUUUGUAUAGUGUAAGACAAUGUGAACUCCAUUCCUAAAAGGCUUAUAUACUAUGAAGUUAUGAACCCUUUAAUACGCAAGAAAAGCUAAACGAAGUUGUCGUAGUUUACCUACCAACUUACCAACUACAGUCUACGACUACACAGUGUGUGUAUGUAUAGUUUGUGAAAUGCUUGACUUUAGAGGGCGUGGCCUGACUUCAUCAGAAAAUCCCAUCGGCAUGGUCUCAGUCUUCCACUUUACCCUUGUCGUGGAACCCAUCGCCCCUCCAUUCCGUACGUUCAAACAAAGACUUAUGUUUCAUUUUCGUUUUUUUUUUUUUUUUUUGUGAUAUAUAAAUAAUAGGGUAUGAGAACCGUAGAUAGUUUAUACUAUUUUUUCACGUUUUGUGGGAUUAAUUUUAAAGAAAUUCUCCUGGAUAGCAUGUUUUAAGUUUUUUUUUUUUCCAAAAAUACCACAAAAGAUUUAUUUUUUUCCAAAAUAGCAUAAACAUAAAAAUUUGAAUUUUGAAGAUGUAGAUUUUUUUUUUUUUUUUAUGUUUGGGUUGACUAUUUACAUUUAGGGUAUAGCUUUUAGGGGUAGGGAGUAGUGUUUAGGAUUUAGAAAUUAGUUUUGAAUGUUAAAAAUUUAAGUUUUAGUUUUGCCCAAAAGAGAAAAAAGUUUAAGUUUUGAAUGUUAAAAGUUUAAGUUUAAAUACCCAUUUUUGUAGUAUUUAAGAGAAUUCACCUGAUUUUAAAGCUAAAUUUGUUAAGUAAAGCGUUUGGAAUAUGUUAAAGAGAGACACACUUUUCUCUUUUAAUAUAUGUUUCUUUUCGUGAGAUCCACGUAAGAGAAAAACACUUUUACUAGAGACUAUAAUUAUUAUGACACAUUGAAGAUCUUAUAUAUUCUGUUUUUUUUUUUUUAUACUGUCUAUUUAAGUUGCCAUUUCCAUUAUUCUUUAGCAACUUGAAAUAUACGUUUGGUAUCAAGGUUAUACAUAAAUUUAUAUAACUGCUAACGAACGAUGAAAGCGCAACUAUAUUUUACUAGACAUACAGUAUAUGCAAGUUCAAGAGAAUUAUUUAUAAAUGAUAAAUCAAAUAACGUGCGUUAAAGAAAAAUUCAAUUUGUUGGAAUUGUUGUAAGUUUAAUGUUGACUUUUGAGAUAGUCUAGAAGCAUUGACUUUCGAGGUGUAGAUGUUUUGUAAUUUAAAUUCCGAAAACAUUUCACACUCUAUAGGUUUAAACAGUUGAGUAGGUGUAUGUUUUUUGGGUCGGAUACACAAGUCAAAAUCUUAAACAUAGUAAUUUGGAACGGUGAUUUUCUUAACGAUUACUACUGUAAUAUACUAGUUAUGUUUUGAGUCUUUUGACAUUCUUAUACGAAAUAAUUUGGUUUCUUUUUUUAGUAAUGAUCUUAAGUAGACUUAAUUCCCUUAUUUAAACUUAGGGAGAUAGGAUCCUUGGUUUAUGAAACUUAGGUUAGAGAAGAAAAAUGUCAUAUAAUCAUUUCAACAUCGGAAGAGAAAUAAUGAAAACCCUAAUUAAGAGAAGAAAAAAUAAUUUAAAACUAUUUCUCAUGAUCUUGUUGUCUUGUUGACAUAGACAUUUUAAAUUUGAUGAGUGAAAGAUAUAUAAAACAUGCUGAACCUUAGCUCCAUACCAUUCCCACAUGUCUAGGUUUCAUCUGGUAGAGCAUCUCUAUCCAUGAGAUACCAUUUAGGUUUCUCAAAAAAAAAACAAAAAAAAAACAUUAACAUUUUAAUUACAAAAAGAAAAAUUGAACCAGUAGUGAAAACAAAUAAAUUGUAAGAUAGAGAAGUGAGAUGAGAUUCUUAAUAAAGAACUUUUAAAAUCUUAAUUGAUUUACACACUUGCAUAUUAUUAUUGAUUACUUGUGUAUUUUAAAUAUAAAAUUAUUUAAGUAAUUAAACUAAAUUCAAAUACUAAUAUAUUAAUAUUUAGAUACUCAAAGUCUCAAAGGUUGGAAGUCUUGGAGAUGCUAAAAACUAUAAAAGGAUCCCAUCCAUAUGUAACUUCAAUUUCUUUCUAUUUUAGAAACAUUAUUGGGCUUUUAUUCGAUUUAUAUUCAUGUAAUUUAGGCCCAGCAAGCCUUUUUAAUAAUUUAACGACGCCGUUUAAGGAAGUUUCUCUCUCUGAUUAGAUAAAAACAAAAAAUAAUCAGUCGACUAGAGAAAGCUCGGGAGAUUCUCCGGCGAUACCUCCUCCGCCUCUGGACGUCCGAAUAACUUAGUUUACCGAUUCCCUGUCAACGAGACAAAGAUUUUGUUCAAAGUUUUAGACUUUAGAGUUUCUGCCUGAACCAAAGAUCAGCUCGAUUUAGGGUUUUUUUUUUUCUCUCGUUACUUUCGAGUGUUAUGGAGAAUCAUGAAUCAGACGAACCGAUGCAGAAGAAGCCUCAUCUUCUAGACUCCGUUUCUCCGACUUCCAUGGCCCGUAAUUCUUCACCUUCUCAUCCCAUCGCUAAAAGUGUAAGUUUUUUCUCCCGACUGAGAACUUCUCGCUUAUCGGUUUAAGCCCAUUAAUUGAAUACUUCGAUAGGGUUUUUCUAUACAAUGAGGAUGAUGCUGUGAAUUUGAGAAUGAGAUGUGUACUUGAAAUCUAGUUGCAGUGUCAGAAUGAUGCAAAUUUAGGACUAUGCAAGUGUUAGUUUCUAGGUGCAUGUUGUUUACUUUUGAGUGUGUUUUUGUUUGUUUGUUUAGGUUGAUGCAACCGCUCUACAGUUUCAGAAUCAGAAACUUGUCCAGCAAUUAGACCUGCAGAAGAAACAGCUAUACGAUGUUGAAACGAAGAUCCAAGAGUUGCAAAUCAACCAAACAUCUUAUGAUGAUGAACUUCUCUCAGUUAACCGGCUUUGGAAUCAGGUCAGCAAUUACCUGGUUUUCAGGUGGUCGCGUUCCUUUAUGUCUUUAUAGAACGGCUAUUUGCAUUGUUUAAUGUUUAACUCAGAGUGUCUAUGGUUUUAUUUGUGCUUUCCGACGACUUAGUUGGUAGAUGAUCUGAUAUUGCUUGGAGUUCGUGCCGGGGCUAAUCAAGAGGCUCUAAACUACUUGGACACUGUAGAUAAAAAGCGAGGUAUUAAUAAGAUUUUCCCUCUUCGUUAAGUAUAAUAGCUGCUUACAUUUUCGUAACAGUUAAGAUAUCUGUUUCCAUGUAAUCUAGGUUCAGUUCCGCCAUGCCCUGCUGAUGAAACGUUUCUGUGUAGACUUCUGCAAGUAGAUUCCUUAGAUACCAGAAAUAGUGAUGAGGUAUUAAGAAAGGUUGAAGAAGCUCUUGCUUUGCGUCACUCCUCUACAAUGGAGUUGAUGGGACUCUUUGAAAACACCAUUACUACACAGAGGUCGAAAGCUGAAAGCAUAUCACAAAAUUUACAUGCUGCAAAAUCGGCAGAAGGUUGGUUUGUGUGCGAAUUAUCGAUAUCAUUUUAUCUUUUAACGGCUAUAGACAAUUUACAGACUUCUUUUUUCAGAUGCCGCCCUCCAGUUGUCUAACAUUAAUGAUUUGUUGAAAGAGGAGGCCACAAACUUGCGUGAGAUGAUUGAUGCUUUACAUGUGAGGCACAAAGAACAUACUGAGCAGAUUCAGGCAUACAUAAGCAGCCAUUCAACAGAUCAGUCCGAGCUUAAACACCUGAAAGGUUAUAUAUUUCAUAAUUCUAGACAACAUGAUAAAUUAGCUGUUUGUUUCUAUAAGCGUAGCACUUUUCCUUUUUGAACGCUGGAACGGGGAUGUAAGAAUUUAUGUUGAUUAGCCAUGGUAGCAUUUCAUAAUUGCUCUCUGAGUAUUGAGUAUCUUUGAUUAUUAAAGGUCAAUUGGAAGAGAUCAAGGCUGAGCUUGAAGAAAAUAGAAGAAAAUUGAUAAAUAAAAUCCAGAAGGAUGCUGCAUGUGAAGGUCAUGUAACACCACCAGCAAUAGCUAAUGGAAGCCUUUCUCCUGAGAAGCCUGUUGACAAGAAAAAGUUGCGUGAAUUGAAGGACUCAAUUGAUGAGAUAAAAGUAAAUACUCGUUGGUAAACUUGUUCAUGUUUCCAUUUUUUGUUCUUCUUCCCCACGUCUAAGCUUAGAAUGUUUUUUGAAUAAUUACUCUAGAUAAUGGCAGAAGGUCGUCUGUCUGAACUUCAAGCCGCACAAGAGUAUAAUCUUUCCCUGUCAAGACAAUGUCAAGAUAUUGAGGUAUACUUAUAGAAUUUAGGGAAAAGGAUAUUUCUAAGAGCAAUAGUUGCAGUUAACAAUGAUAUGUUUUGUUUACUGGAUGUAGAAUGAGCUAAAGGAUGACCAGUAUAUAUACUCUUCUAGACUGUAUAGUUUGAUCAAUGAUCAACUUUAUCACUGGAAUGCUGAACUGGACCGAUACAAAAUUCUGACUGAGGCCAGUCAGGUCAGCAUCUUAUUCAAGUUACCGGUGUUUCUCUCCCUCACAAGUGAGUGAAUAUUUCGUCCAUCUUUUUCUAACCUCUGCUUCAGGCUGAAAGGUCCUUCGUAAUGAGACGGGAUAAGGAACUAAAUCUAAGGGCAGAAUCCCUGGAAGCAGCUAGCCAUAAGACUACCAUUGUUGGUUCUAGAAUUGAGGUGCUGGAACAGAAGCUGCAGAGUUGUAUAGUUGAAAAGAAUGGAUUAGAGCUUGAAACGGAAGAAGCUAUUCAGGAUUCUGGUGAUGUUCAAUCCAUUUCAGUACUCAUUGUCUAUGUAACGCUUUACAUUCCUUCUCUUAAGAAGAUAUAUUCCAUGUUUCAGAGCGGCAAGAUAUUAAAAGUGAGUUUAUUGCAAUGGCAUCAACCUUAUCUAAGGAGAUGGAAAUGAUGGAAGCACAGCUGAAACGGUGGAAAGACACUGCACAUGAUGCUCUUUACCUGCGUGAACAAGCUCAGUCGCUGAGAGUUUCGUUAAGUAACAAGGUUCGAACGCAACCACAGUUUCCUUAAGUAACAAUGUGGAAUCUCUUUUCCUUGUAUAUACAAAUGCUUGGCUUCUACUAUAUUUUUCUUUCUAUUGGACUGCUCCCUGAAAUAUUGAUUUUCUCUUGCUAACAAAGGCAGACGAACAGAAGGGUAUAGAGGAUAAAUGUGCCGAACAGAUGGCGGAAAUUAAGUCUCUCAAGGCUCUAGUAAGUUUUCUUUAUGUCCUGAAACCCAUCUUCUCGAUUUUUUUUUUUGGUAAUUACGAGGUUCUUCUGCUCUAUUUACAGGCCUCUCUCCAACUGUAUCGUAGGCAAUUAGCUCAUCCGCAUGCUUAGUCAUUUUCUCUUUAGGAAUUCAUGGAUACUAAAACACCAGAAAAUUUAGCAGUAAGAGUCUGAAUGUCAAUUGUAACUUUGCAGAUUGAGAAACUUCUGAAAGAGAAAUUAGAGCUGCAAAAUCUAGCAAGCAUUUGUACUCGUGAGUGUAAUGAUGAAAGGUAUGUGACCAUUUGAGUGUAUUUGAGCUCGCCAAUUUUUGUUGAAAAUAUGAAGUUUGUGCUUUUCACUUUCAGAGGAUUGGCAGAAAUCAAGGAAUCACAACGGAAAGCCCAAGCGCAGGCUGAAGAGCUGAAAAACGUUUUAGAUGAACACUUUCUUGAAUUGAGAGUGAAAGCUGCUCAUGAGACUGAAAUUGCUUGCCAAGAAAGGCUUGCUACCGCGAAGGCUGAAAUUGCUGAAUUGAGGACUCAGUUAGAUCUUUCUGAGAGGUAUACUCUCUUUUGUUUCCAUAUCCAAGGCCAUUCAUCUUAUUCUUUUCACAGUUGGGGGUAUUAAUCAUUAUUAUUUGCAGGGAGGUUUUGGAACUUAAGGAGGGUAUUAAAGUUAAAGAGCAGGAGGCAGAGGCAUCCAUUGCUGAAAUGGAGGUACCUUGCAAUCACCCUUCUGCCCUUUCUUUCUCAUGUUGAUGUUCUCAAGGAGUGUAUUAAAUUCUAAAAGUAAAAAAUGUGCAUGUGUCUCAUCAGUAAUUUGUUUGUCUAGACUAUUGGUCAAGCCUAUGAAGACAUGCAGACACAGAACCAAAAUUUGUUGCAGCAGGUGGCUGAGCGGGAUGAUUAUAAUAUCAAGGUAAGUGUGUUAAUAGGCCAUUUUGAUGUUGAGAUACGGGUUUUUACCCUUUUUUCAAUUCCAACCUUUGGCUUUAAUUCUAUCUGGCCUUUGAAUACAUCGGUUGUAGAUUACCUGUUUGAUCUAUAAUGCCAGCUUGUUUCCGAGAGCGUCAAGACAAAGAAUGCUUAUAACACUCACUUAUCUGAGAAGCAAGUAAUGGAAAAGCAGCUCCUACAAGUUAAUGCGUCAGUUGAGGCUCUAAAAGCAAGGAUUGCACAUAGUGAGGAACAGGUUGGAAGCUUUCUCGUUUGUAAUUUUUGUAACUCUCUAUAACUCAUGAGUGUCAUUUACUAAUGCUCUGAUGUUUUUGCAGAUGAAAAGCUGUUUUUCUGAGGCUUAUAAAUUGAUUCAAGAAGAUCGUCACCUCGCUCUCAGCCUCGAAACCACCAAGUGGGAAGUAGCUGAUGCUGACAAGGAAUUCAGGUGGCUGAAGUCGGCUGUUUCUUCAUCCGAGAAGGAAUAUGAACAGAUAUGUAGGAGGACAAAAGACAUCAUAUUGGAACUGGAUGAUGACAGGUGGACCUGAAAGCAGAUCUCUUGUUUGAACUCAAUAACUAUUUUAUGACGGAUUGAUAUGAUUUCUAUCUACUGAGCAGGAGGGAGAAGAAGAAGCUUGAGGAAGAGUUGAUGGAGUUGAACAAGGAGCUUGAAGAGUUGGGUUCUGAGAGUGUAGAAGCUGCAAUAGUGAGACUCCAGGAAGAAGUUAAGAAUUGCAAAAACAUCCUCAAAUGUGGCGUUUGUUUUGAUCGGCCUAAAGAGGUAACAGUGCUCAUAACAAUCCUAUAUCUUACCGUCAAGGCAGACAUAAUGAUUUGACAAUCCUUUCUCAUCACUGUCAUAAUCAUCAUCAAUAGUCAAAUGUCGCGCAUCAUAAAAAAAUCGUUUUGAGAAGAUAUCAACAACUUCUUUUAAUCUUUCAAACAAUAUUGCAGGUGGUAAUUGUGAAAUGUUAUCAUCUCUUCUGCCAGCAAUGCAUCCAACGUAGCUUAGAGAUCCGACACCGGAAAUGUCCAGGCUGCGGUACCGCCUUUGGCCAGAGUGACGUCCGGCUUGUCAAAAUGUAACCGAGACAUUUACCACAUGCACAUGGUGUUGGUACAUAAGUACAUAACACACUUAAUCAAGGUCCACACAAUCUCAUCUCCCUUGCCACCCUUGAAUAACAUUGUAAGAUUGUUAGUUAGAUAUAUAUUAUAUAUUGUAUCGGUAACAACACCGAAUCUCUGGUUAUUUCCAGCUAAGAGAGUGAUGAGAAAUUAGGUGGUUAUCUUUAUGGAGAAAGUGUAGGUUUUAGGUAAGUGACAGUCGUGUUUGUGUUACCUCCAUUUAUGCCUUCGUUUUAUGACAUGGGGACCGACAAAGACAUCAUCGCAAAUGAACGGAGAUAGUUUAGUUUUGUAUUUCUUUUUUAAAGACGACCUAAAGAAGUAUGCUGUCUAAAAAAACUGAUCCAAAAGCUGGUGGAUUAUAGUGAAACUCUUUUAUAAUUAGGAUAUGUAAAGUGAUGUUUUGUGAGCUCGUACUGUAUUGUUAGGUAGGGAUAGUGUCUUUAGACAAAGAUACCUAAUGGACUGGUGACAUUUAUGGCUUUAAAUUGCACAUGAAGAUGAUCUAAUAUCUUAUCUAACGAUAAUCAUUGUAGUGUUCUUUUGAUUAAGAAAUGUUGAUAUGACUACGCUUAUAGUUUUUGGUUAGUACUGUGAGAUAGACAUAUGGGCGUAGUGUCCUCUUGAUUGAAAGGAUUGGUCCGUAUAUAGCUUUGGGUAAUUGACUCUUAUGGGCGUAGAUAUUUACUAAAAUUGGCUCAAUAUAUAUAUUUUUUUCUUUUUUUUAGUUCAAACGGUAGCUCAGUAUAACAAAUGGUAAAAGAGUUACUAAACUUUUGUUACUAAAUUUCGUGUCAACUUAGAUUUUAAAAGGUAACGUACAAAACAAUUACGGGAGAAGUGCGAUGCCGUUCUAAUAGUAACGAAAAUACUGUACAAUACCGUCUCCAUUCGGAAGUAUUACUCCCAUGACUCGCAGACGUGUCUGAAUUUGAUAAAACCUCGAAGAUUAGGUACAUACAUUUACAUCAGACAAAAGACAAACAAACAAAAGAAACUAUUAUAUUAAAAAUAAAAGAGCAGAAACUAAACUUCGUGACAGCCAUGGUACUACACUUUCUUUAAUUAUAUACAAUAUUGCAUUUUAGAGUGUUGUUGUAUACAUGUGUACUAGUUUUUUUUUAUUUUUGUGCAAACAUGUGUACUAGUUUUUAUAUAUAUAUAUAUAGGUGUCAGUAAUCUAAACUGAAAAGACAUGCAAUAGUUACUUAAGACUUUAGAUGCAUAUAUAAAAAUAGGCAUAUGAGUUUCAAAUAAUCAGGUCAUAAAAACUAUUACAUUAUGGAUUAUCGUGGAUUGUAGCAAGUUUGGAUCAACCAAAGAGAUAUACUGAAAGUGAAUUAAUCCGUUAGGGUAGUUGAACUUCCUAAUAAAUUUCUCCAAUCAAUCAAUAGAUGCAGAGAUUAUAAAAAAAAAAAAUUUAAGUUUAUCAUCUUUUAAUUUCUUCUCAAAUAUAAUGUACCAUUUAGAUUUAGGUAUGUACCCAAAAUUAUAUAAGUGAUCAAAAUCAACCAAAAUUGCAAGCUCUGUAUCUUAUUGUCAUAUAGGGAAAUGGGUACCCUAUCGUUUUCAUGGAUUCUUAUGUUAGACUGUAGGAAAGUUACCAAUUGGCCAAAAUAGAAACUGAGCUAGGAUUUUACAUCCAUAUAUAGCUUUUGUUUAGUUGGUAAAAAAACAAAAACAAAAGAAGAAAAAUUUGUCCCACUAUUACACAAUCCACAUGCAAGAAUAUCACCAAGCUUGGAAUAAACAAAAGUUACUAUUUAAGUUAUUAGAUUUAGCAGGCCAUUUUAUCAAAAGAUGGUUAAAAAAUUUAUUGGCUGAGGUUCCGCAACUUCUAUAGAUAAUACAAAACAAAAUUAUAGCCAGAAAAAGUUCGAGUGGAUUGAAUUAUUAAACAUGACAAUCAUAUGCAUGUAAGAUUGCAUAGUUCCAAGGGCUCGACAACCAUUUAUUGCUCUCAUUAAGUUUUCCCCUUAUCAUUUAUCUAUCAGUCUUACAAAAAAAAUUAUGAUAUUUUAUAGUAUGUGCAUAAUGUAUGGUUCUUCAAAUGCAUGUGAAUAUGUGAUAAUAUAUACUGUUUAGAAAUGUUCUGAUGUGACAUGCACCACCUUCAAUCUCUAUCUAAUUGCAUAGGAUCCAAGUCAUUAUGCAAUAAAUUAGAUAUUUCAUAUUUGGUAUUAAUUUUGACAAGUAUAUCAAAUUCUUUAAGUUAUUGCUUAAUGGCGUCCCCGUUGUAUAUAGUGUAAUAGCGUCCCCGUCGGAGUUGGCCUAACACUCGUAUACAUACAUAUAUAUCAUUACACGUUUAAAAAUGUAUAUAUUAUCUUGAGUACAUAACUAUAAAUGUUCAAAUGUAAUAAAUGAUCCUAUCAUCCAACCAAUACGUCGACACUCAAGAGUGACAUAGCCAUAUAUAUACACGACUAUACAAAGAGAAUAAGCAUACAAGUUUCAAUCUAGCUAACAUUACAUUCUAUCAACACAAAGAUAUCUAUAUAGAAAUCCAGAGAAGACAAACAACACGUCGAACCAUGGAGCACUUAAUAAGAACCCUAAUCAUAACCAUCGUGACAACCUCCAUGUUGCUAGGGUUUGGAAACUCAGAUCUGGCUCAGGACAGAGACGAGUGUACGAACCAACUCAUAGCACUCUCCACGUGUCUUCCGUACGUUGGAGGAGGCGCCAAGGCUCCGACAAAAGAUUGCUGUGCAGGGUUUAACCAAGUUAUAACAAAGAGUGAGAAGUGUGUUUGCAUAUUGGUCAAAGACAAAGAUGAUCCUCAACUUGGUCUCAAGAUUAACGCAACCCUAGCCGCUCAUCUUCCCACCGCCUGCCACAUAACGGCUCCUAACAUCACCGAGUGUAUUUGUAAGUUCUUUUUUUCUUUGUUUUGUCUCUCUCCCUGCUCUCUUCAUGUCUCUCAUUCUUGAAGUUUAUUUUAAAAAAUUUAUAAAGUUUUAUGGUACUUGGUUUUUAUAGUAUGUAUAAGUAUAAGUAACUAUGGAUGUUCUUGUUCGAGUAUCGAGUUCGUAUAUUUUCUAAUUUUCGAGCUUUUUUGGUCUAAUUUUAGAGACCACGUUCUAGGUAUAAUCUAUAGUACAAUGUACAGUUUUAUAAUAAAUAUUAUGAAAAAAUCUUCAUUUUAGAUGUUUAUACUAUAUGAAAAUGACAGAAGCUUUAAAAUAUAUGUCAUGAAGUGUUCUUAGUUUUGAAGGUUUGGUUAUUAUGCAAUAUACAGUAUGUAUACUUCUCUUUUUUUUUUAAACCUUUUUAAUCUAAUUAUGGAUAGAUAUUGAGUAUAUGCCGUAUCUUCAUUUUAAUUGUUAUAUCAUAUUAAAAUGAAAUUUACAGGAAUUUUUGUAACAACAUAUAAAUACUAUACUUUCAUUUGAUUUGAUAUUGUUUUUUGGAACUCACUACGAUUUCUUGUUAGUUAUAUUGUGAAUUUUAAAAUUAAGUUAGCUAACUUUUUUUUGUUACUGUGAAUGGGAAAGCAAUUCUGCAUUUAGCUCGAAACUCAACAUUGGCUAAAGAGUUUGAGAGCUUAGGAAGGAUUGAAGAAAACUACAACAGCACAUCUCCUACACAAAUCCAUAAAGGUAAGUGAACUUAAUUUUAUAUUGAUUAGUUAAUCCGUUAGUAUACUUUAAAUAUUUUUCACGAUAAUUUUGUUAUCUGAUGAUAUACAUAUAUAGUCCCAAGAUCAUAGACCAUAAGCAAGAUCGAUCUAUUAGAGUUUACUGAAGCCAUAUAUAAUUUUGAUGAUAUGAUAUAAAUAGAUGGGACAGGAGGAGGGAAAGCAGAAUCAGUGAAGAGUAAUGGAGGGAAGAAGAAGAAGAAGAGUUGGUUGGGUGUUGUUGAGCUUUUAAUAUUUGCUCAUCUUCUUUUGAUUAUCAUCUCUUCUUUUAUUUAAUGUUCCUUUGCUUUUGUUACAUCUCUUUUAUCUAUCUAUAAUACUAUUAAUCAAUGAGACAGAUCUCACAUGCAUGUGUAAUACACAUAUCUAUGCAUGUAAAUCAUGAGUCACGAAACUUGUAACUUUUUUUCUUCUUAAUUUCACGAAUUGCGUACGUAGUAGUAAAUUUCAUGGAUUUUACCCUACUUGCUCUGUUUUUUUUUUCUUUCUUAUAAGGUUGUAUUUCUUAUUUUUUUUUCUAUAGAAUGAUGAAAAAAUAAUAUAUUCGUUUGUCGUAUUAAGUUUCAACUUUUAGUAUGUUAUGGGUUUAAAAUUAGUACCAUGUCCUAUUCUAUAGAUGUAACGUAACAAUUAAUACAUGUAGCUAGCCAGUCUAAAGAUCAAAAAGUAUAUACAAAUAUGUUUGUCUUUUUCUCAACAAUUUUGUUUAUAAGAUAAAUUAAAACUAUAAAAAAAUUUCUUGAUACGGUUUGGACUAUGGAUUGAUACGAAACAUCUAAGUUUGAGAAUUGAGAGAGUUGUUAGGCCAAAAUUAAAAGCUUUGGUUUUCAAGUUGCCAACUCCGGAGAAACAAAUGUAUGAAACCAAAUUUUACAUAAUCAACAACAAAUUAAAAUUAAAUGGCAUUUACAUCGUAGUUGAUGAAUUAUAUAUAUUUUCCUUCUGAGUUCUGAUCAUCAAUAUUCUCUGCAACACAUCAGGUUCACACAUUUCUAAAACCACAUAAAGAAAAAGGGAUUGAUUUGGACUUAUUCUCUUAUAUAUAUCGAAACGAACACUUGACUUAACCACACACACAUCGUGCAAAUCUUGAUCUUAAAUCAAAUAAUAUAUAUAUAGCUUUAUUCAAGUAUAUCAUUUUCAACUUUUAAUAACAAUUAUGCAAUUUGAUCAUUAACCAUAAUAUAUUAUAUAUAUAUAUAUAUAAAUCUGAUGGGUGAUUUUAUCAUAUUCAUCAAAAUAAAAGUUAGUAUGAAUCCGGGCAUUGGGUAACUCAUGGGGUCUUUCUAGUUCGGCCUACAAUGAUAUCCACAAAAGGCCUACUCUAUGAAAGCCACAAUAGGCCCAAUCUAUCUAAGCGUGUACCACGCAGCAACAAUUUUAAUGAUAUUAAAUACACGUGGCAAGUCAAACUACAUUAUACUAAAACAGAGUCAAUUCCUAAUAUACCCUCAACGUUUUUGUUAUAUUACGCCCUCUCUUUAUCGCAGUGUCAUUCAUUCAUUGACCAAUGGCUUCUUCUUCUUCGCUCACACUCUUCUUCUGUCUCUUCUUCAUCUCUCUCUUCUUGUCUCUCUCCUCCUCCCUAAAUCCCCGCCGUCCGAUCUCAUCUCGAUCCAACGGCAUAGAUCUUUUCUCUUCUCGAAAUCUCGACCGUCCAUCUCUCACCGCCGAUGACAUCCACGAUCUUCUCCCUCGCUACGGAUUCCCCAAAGGUCUUCUUCCCGAUAACGUCAAGUCGUUCACUAUCUCCGACGACGGCGAUUUCACCGUUGACUUGACUUCUCCUUGCUACGUCCAUUUCUCCGAUCAACUCGUUUUUUACGGCAAGAACAUCGCCGGAAAACUCAGCUACGGGUCUGCUAGAGACGUCCGUGGGAUCCAAGCUAAAGAGGCUUUCCUUUGGUUGCCAAUCACCGCCAUGGAAUCUGAUCCAAGCUCUGCCACGGUUGUGUUCUCCGUCGGAUUCAUAUCCAAGACUUUACCGGUUUCCAUGUUUGAAAACGUUCCGUCUUGCUCAAGAAAACUGUAUCUUCAAGACUCUUGAAAUCCGCCUGAUUGGUCGAUUCCAAUGUCUGAAUAUGUAUUUCAAUUAAUUUGCUUUGUUCAUAAGUGUGAUAUUUGAACCUAAUAAGAUUAUGUUACAUUGCCACCGAAAGAGGUUUGAGACGAAAGAUUUAAAAUUUACAGAUCACAGAAAACAAAAGUGUCAACAAAACGCUAUAACAAUUACCAAAACCGAUUAAAGAGAUUCCUAUAAAUACUAACACAGAUUUAACACCAGAAGAAAUGGUGAACAAAUGUUAACCCACCUCACUCACUGUCUCUUGGCUCUCUCCUCUUCGUAUCUCAUAUGAUCUUGUUAAGACCGGACAUGAGUUCUUGUCAAUGGUGAUUGUGGAGACGAUUCCUCAUUUGUAUUACUCUGGAACAGGUCUUGAGCCAGAUUUUUUGCUUUUUCCUCCUCUUCUUGGAACCUCAAGGUGGUUGGUUUCUUCUGACCAGAGUUUGACUCCAUUGUUGAGUUUCAGAUUUCUUUUGUCAAGCUUGAAGCACUUGACAAUGCACAAUAUGGCUCUUCAAAGCUCUCCCUGCGAUACUCGACCAUAUAUUACUGAGGAUGUUCUUGGACUGUCCUUUUACGGCUAUGUUUUCCCACAGUCGAGGGUUGUUCUUGUCUGGAUUCGAGACAUCAACCAGACUCAUGCUCAUGUUGUUCCGGAUUAUACAAAGCUUAUUGUUUAGAGGAACAAGAGCCGCAGCUUCAAGCGACUUUGAGUUUCCCAAAUGAACUUUACUGUCCAUGAAUUUGUUCCAUGAGUCCGCGGUUUCAUCAAAUACCCUGAGUUUGCAUCCGUCCCUACAAUCCAGUCCGUAAAGGCGACCAUUCAGAGAAGUACAUGGAUUUCGCCAACCAGCAACCAUCCCAUCACUAACCGGGCUCCAUGAGUUAACUUCGGGGUCAUAAGCUUCACUCAUGACUAGUUGGUGAGACCCAAGACCCUUGAGAAACCACUUUUUAUCAUAGACCACACCGAUAAGAGGCACCAUUGCUGUGCUCAUAUCAGCAAUAAAACUCCACCUGUUCUUGUUUGGGUCAUAAACCUCAGCUGAGCGGAGUGUCCUCUGAAUCCCUUCACACUCCCCACCCGCAACAUAUAAACAGUUGUUAAUGACACAACAACCAAAGAAAUGGCGCUUCCUAAGCAUAUCGGGUGCCCUGUGCCACUUAUUCGUCCUUGCAUUGUAGAAAAUAACCCUUCUCAUGGACCCUCUAAGAGGAUCUUUACCUCCAAACAAAUAAAGAUGACAACCGCUCAAAACAGCGCAACCAAACCCAACAGCCUCUGAAUACUCUCUGGGAACUGGUGGAAGCGGCUGCCAAAUCUGAGAGCUUGGAUCAAACGUAUUCCACGAGAUCUUCCCGUCGCGAUCUCUCUUAAAAACAUAAACCCAUUCCUCGGACAUCCCAAGUAGCUUCCUCUGAGAGUAAAAGAAGUUGCCAGAAGCAAGCCUGUACCAUCGCUUACACACCUGCCUGAGUUUUCUAUGCUCAGCACGAGGGACACGGAUGAGGCAAGCAACAGCAAGAUCGUCAGGGAGGCCAGGGAGAAGAGGAGGUUGGAUUCGAGUCCUCUCCCUCUUAGAAUUCUUACGCCUAUGAGCAUUGGGAUUGAUAUCAGGUUGAAUACAAAGCUUUGAUCCAGGAACAAACUUCCUCGCUUCUACUACUGUCUUAAGACCAGAAUCCACUCUACAAUAGCAAGAAACAGAAUCCACCUGCAAAAGAUACUCCAAUCUCAGAAAUCUAUAAAAAAACAAAACAUUUUAGGGCAGGAAAAAAUAGUCAGAAACAGUUUGAGGAGUAGGAAUGAAGAAACUGCCAAAUUGGGACUAGGGUUUCUGAAAAAGGAAACAAAAUUGAAGGAAUUCAAAGCACAAUCAUCAUUUCAAAGUCUAAACAUUUCCCAGAAAAAAUUAAAGGUUGUAUCUUUCGAAACGAACCAAUGGAAACGAGAAAGGAAGUUACCAAUGGAGCUUGGAGACGAAAACCCCUAGAACCAUUUGGGGAUUGACGUUGAGAAGAUAGAUCCAUCUUCAAAAACCGGAGCUCAUAUGUAAGAAAAAGCCAGAAAACAGAUCGAGAAAUUCACACAAACUUGUAAGAAGGCAGACAGAAGAAGAAUCUGAUGGAAACCAAAUGGUCCAAUCUCUCUCUCUCUCUCUCUGACUGUAGCCGGAGGGAUUAGAGGGAAAACGUGAACAACCUUCCACUUCGCUCUCUCUACACGGAAAAAUGGGACUGGUAGGUCUCUCUNNNNNNNNNNNNNNNNNNNNNNNNNNNNNNNNNNNNNNNNNNNNNNNNNNNNNNNNNNNNNNNNNNNNNNNNNNNNNNNNNNNNNNNNNNNNNNNNNNNNUCGUCUCUCUCUCUCUCUCUCUCUCUCUCUCUCUCUCUCUUCUCUUCUCUCUUUCUUUCUUUAACUCAACAAGAAGAAGUAAAAGCUUUGGUAGUAGCCGUAUUAAUAUUAAUACUAACAUUUAAUCUAGUGUUUUUAUUUUUCGGUAAUUACAGAGAAUCUAGAGUUUUAUUGAACGUAUGAUUAAAUAUUUAUAUUAUUAUCGACCUUGAAAAAUUAAUGGAGCCAGUAAAAUACUUCUUUUUUUUGGGGGUCAACGUAAGAUUUUUUUUAACACAUUUAAUUUACAUAAACUAUGAUAUAUAUAUAUAUAUUAAUCCCUAUAUAUAUAUUUUAUUAUGUAUUUUAAUUAUAUUUAUAUAUAAUCAAUCACUUAUUUAAGGGAGAAACUAAAAGAUUGUGAAUGAUUAUUUACCGGUGGAUUUAGUUUAUGUCAAUGGGCUAACUUUUUGUUGAAAAGUGUGGUGAACCGAAGAAGUUUUAGAUUUGGUAUUUGAAAUAUUUUAAGAUGAUUCAUUUCUAAGUUCUAACACAUAAUUAUUAGGGAAUUUCGUAUUCGAUGAAAUUGAAAAGUCAUACUAAUCGUCAAACUUAUAAUGUAUAUGUGUUCCAUUAUAGUAAAACCGUUGUACUUAAUUAUUAAUUAAAAGACGGAAUCUAUCGUCAGAAAUAGUAUUAGUUGUUUGGACAUCAUCAAAUUACGCUAAUUGAUUGUGCCUUACGAAUGGUAUGUUUGGACUAUCUCUAUAUAGUAUUAGUAUUAUUUGUAUCCACCGUUUUUAUUCAUUUAUAAAAUUUAUAAAUUGUAAAUCAAAUACAUACAUUAAAUAAUACGUCAAUUUUUCAACCACUUCAUCAAAAAAAGAUUUAAAAAGAAGGGGACGAUUUUUGUCGUAUGGAAUGGGACACGGCAUAUUUUUUCAAAAUAUUAGAUGUAGAAUACAUACAAAAACGAUUUGUCUACCCAUAAUAAUAAUUGAGUUGUAUACAAAAUGAUAUUUAUCAAAAAUAUUCCUUUUUCUCAAACAAGGCAACAAAGAAAACAAAGAGUGUGAGAGGGAGCCAAAUAUAAGUAUUUUGUGUGUGUGUGUGUGUGACAUUGUUGAAUAAUUGAUGAGUAUACGACUAUUAUUAGGCUUAGAAGAAAUUGCCUUGUCUUUGAAUAGGUCUAAGAAAUUGUAGAAAAGCUUUUAGUUGAAAGAAAAAGGAAAACACUCUAAACUAUAUAUAACCUAUAGUUCCAUAAACCCAUAGACUACCUAAUUAAUUUUGCUCUAACUACCAUAUUUUUUUUUUUGCAUCGAUGAUGGUUCGAUACAUUAAAUUAAGAUGGAGAUUUGUUGGAUAUGUUUGAAUUAUAUUAAAUUGGACCCACAAAUUAAAACUCAAAAAUUAAUAUAAUUAAGGUGUUUUCAAUAAAUACUUUUCUAAACCUAUUUUUCAUGUACCAUGAAAUAUGUGUGUUUUUAGUACUAAAAUCUAUCUCUUUAUACUACAAAAAAAACUAUCUCUUUAUCCACGAACAUGUUCAAUAGAAAAUGCGUUGAUAAAACCACAUCAAAUAUGUGUUAUAUUUUUAUUUAUGUUUCUAUUAUCUUCCUUAGUCAUAUAUCAGUAACAAAAAAAUGUUAGAUGAAUGUGUUUCAUUAGAAGUGAUUGUAUAAAGUCAGUAAGUUCUUUCACGCACUUGAUUAAUUAUAAAAUUUAUGUAGAAGAUGAGUUUCUAUGAAUUAUUCGGCAUGUUCAAUAGAUAAUAAAUUAAUAACUAAAAACUCUCCUAUUAACUGUUUAAUUUGUUAUUUUUUGGGUAAAUUAGAGACUAUCAUUAGACCAACAUUAUUGAAGGUAAAUUAGAUCACCAUUAUUGAGAAUUUCUUAAGCAAAUCUCAGCUUAAAAUAUGUUAAAAGAAGCUCUUAUAUAAAAACCAUUUCUUAACAAAGCUUAAUAAGUUUUGCUUAAGAGACCAUCAAGAUUGGUGAUGCUCUAAAUAAGUUACUUGAUCGAAAAAAAGUUAAUAUGGUUAAAGAUGUUUUGAAUAUUUUGAGAUUCUGUAUGCAUGCAAACAAACACAUAAACAUACGGACAAUAUAUCAUUGCUAUAAAAAUGUCAUACAGUACAGUACAAAUACAACUAACAUAAAAUAUGAGUAUGGUUAACCGAACAAAAAUGGCAUAGUUAUUCACAUUUAGCUCAUCCUUUUCAACUAAACCUUACAAAAGAUUUAUCAAAAUAUUCGGUUAUCUCUAGAUACUUAACUUGUAUAGUUUUUAGUAUUCUGACCCCAAAAAAAAAAAAAGGGAAGUACAGUAGAGUUAUAAAAAUAGAAAGGUAAAUGAUGAUUGUCAACCACAAUUAUGCAUGUCAAUGGACCAAUGAUGGCAACUGGCAAGGGUUGCGACUUAAGAGAUGAUUUUUUUUUCAGCAAAACUUUAUAUUCUUAUACAAAUGCAUAAAAGUGAAUUUGACCACAAUUACAUAAACGUAAUGGUAGUUAGUAGUUAUGAUAUUAAAAAAGUGGUCACCAAAAAAAAAGUGUCUAUCUUAAAUUCAGAAAUUAAUACCUUCCCCAUGAUAAUAUUUUCUACCCCUAAUUUCACUUUUAAUCAUAGUCAUGGCUUGCCCAAUUAAUUCUUUGACAAUGACAUUCUACUUAACCCUAAAGAAAACAAACUGAUUUGGUACGCCAUAAACUUUCCUAUACCCUAUUAAUUGAUAUUAUGCAUUCAUUCUUCAAGUAUGUUGCAAACAAAAGGUCAAAGUCAAUAAUAAUACUUUAGAAUUGUAUAUGAAUCAAACUACCUUUGGUGGAUUUAUACCAACCUAGGAUGUAAUGAAAUAAAAUUAUUUCUAAGCUAGAACACAAACUAACCUUCGAAACUAUACAAAUCUGUAACGACUAAUCACAAAAAGAUAAUAAAUUAAGUAAAUACUGAUGAAAGGGUAAAAUGAUGAUCAAUGGACUACCAAUGGAUAAACAAUUUUGUGAUGUAUAAAAACUGAUCUUAUUUUAUAUGAUGUACGGUGGCAGUAUAAAUUACAUGUAUCUCUUAUUUACAUAUACUCUAUUAUAUACAACAAAGUCAUGUACAAACACACGGGCUCUCUUUACGAGUUAAGAACCAUCCUUCAAGGGCUUAAACGCAGCCAAAACAACGGCUACUUUGCAUACAAGAAACCCCAAAGUCCCCACCAAUAUCUCUUUUGGUGUGACUGCAAAUGCAGUAAAAUCUCCCCCAAUGGGACCUCUCAUGGCUAAAACCGUCAAUCCUAUGGCCAAUGCGAGAGUCAAAACCGGAAUCUUGAGUCCUUGGCUUAGUGUCUGAUUGGAGUUUUCGGAUGAAGAAGAUCCCGGUGCUUGCAGUUCAUCAACUGAUCUCUGUAGGAGCAGCAAGUAGAGAAAUCCCAUUGUUCCACCGAAGAAGAAAGCAAUGGCGGAAUUUUCGCCUAGUGAGAAAGCAAAGGCCGAACUUCCAAGAAGGAUGAGAAUGGCAUCGUAGAGAAGCAGAGAGAGUUUCAAGUUUGCAUAUUCUUCCAUGCUUUCCUCAUUGGAUACCGUUGUACGGUCAAGAUCCAAAGCUGUAGAUGAAGAGAUUUGAUCGGAGUCCGUGAGUUCAGUGAUACGGAUAGGUUUUAGCUCCACCAUUGAUAGUUCACUGCUCUCUCCAAGCAAGAUUUCAUCAACUUCAAAAUCGUAUCGGUAACAAAAGGUUUCUGCAUCGGUUUCUUUAGCCCGAGGAUUAACCACCCACAAGUUCACUCCUCCAACUCUCCAUUGACCUAAAUAUGAAAAGCUAAUUCCAUAAUCACAGAAAAAUGAAAGGACUAAUACAAGUUCCAAGUCAAAAGAAACUAACCAGACUCAAGACCGAUCCAAAAAGCUCUGAUUUUGCCGAGUUUUGGUCCUUCAAAUGUGAAUUCAUCAACAGAGCCUCUCUGAAACUUGAAGGUUUCACCAUUUUCCACAACUUCUGGAUCCAAAGAUGAAAAAUUUGCAGGUAUUGUCUGUAACACCGAAUCACCCUUUUCGUCUAUCAAGCAAAGAAGAACCCUAGCAUUCAUGUCACUAAUCCCCGAACCAAACAAAUUACUUGUCUGCAGCUUAACCUUAUAAAGAGAUCGAGUUUCGCUCACAGUGAAAGAUGGGUUCCCUCUACAAAGUUUCACUUCUUCUACUGGUAAGAGACGCAAAGGUCUUGCAUAACUCUGAAAAUCUGAAAGCUAACAGUUUCAGUCAAUCAAAUAGUGCAGAAGUAAACAUCUUGAACAUUCUCAUUUCUUGAAAUUAAAGACCAGAAAAAAUAAAUGUGAACUUGACAUAAAAUUCCAAUGAUUCCAAACCCAUCAGAACCAAAUUAACUGAAAUUUUUGAAUUUGAUCACUAGGAAUUUUACAACAGAGUCGACGGAGACUUAGAAUUGGAGUUACCUUGGUAAUCAGAUGACUUCGAGCAAAUGACACCGAAUCGAUAACGACGAAUUCGACAUGAAAGUUUUAUUCUUUUAGGAAAUUGAUUGAAUUGGUUCGUCGUAAACCUUGCGAAAGGUACGGGCUUCAGACAAAAUGAUUCCGUCGCCAUUGCUGUUGCAACUCUCGCGGUACAUGAGAAAUGCCACACGGCACGGCACAAAGAAGAAGAGAUUGACCGAGGAACCUUCAAGGUAGAGAAACUUCUAACACAGAAAGAGGCUCCACAUUUCAACAGAACCGAGGAUCAAACCGAACCGGAAUCUUAACUCAUGUCUGAUUGCACAAAAUAGACAAUACGGAGUACAGUAGUAAUUUUUAAGAUACUGUAUCUGUAUGAUUGUGUUACGGUUAACUUAACCAAUAUUUAAUCUUAAACAACUUAAACAAGAAUCUUUACCAGAACUUCAUUACGUCGUUUGUAAUCAUAUUUUUUUACCAAAAAGAUCUUUACGUUUGUAUCAUAUAAUAUUAAAGUCAGGCAGUGCCAGAGUUGUGUAUGAUGCUUCAGCUUUAGAGACGAAGAAUAGGCUGAGAUAAUAUUUCCACUCGAGAGCUUUCUCAGCACGAGGACUAUCGUCCCUUACGGCCUUAUCUACAAUUCUACAUUUGUUGACAAAAGACUUGUCUCUUGAGAACUUCCUUUUCUCUUCCACCGGUAAACCAAAGAAUCUAUUAGUAGCUGUUUUCAUAUAUUCAAGAACUUCCAUCGAAACGCCAUAUGUGAUGACCGUUCCCUUUGUGGACGACGAAGUCAGUGACUUCGUCCAGGGUUGGGAAGCAUUGUGUAUUGGUAAAAAAGAUUUGGAUCUUUUGAUACAUAUUUUUUUUUUUCUCAAUGGUUGUUCAUAAAAUUUGUUGUUUGAGGUUGUGAAAGCUUUUGUUAUAAAGAGUUAAAGACUAAGAAACAAGAUGAAUAGAGAGAUCACGACAGCAACUCCUUCGAGGCUCUACGCAUUUUUUUGUUUUGUCUUUUUUGGUAAUGCUUUGUUUUGUCUUUUAUUUCAAAAAUGCCAUUUGUGACAUAACUCGUAUAUAUCAAAUUACAGUACGUAAUGAUGGUAGACAUAGGAAGAGAUGGAGGAAGCUCAUGCUUCUGUGGAUUCGGUAACCUAGAUCCUUGUCAUCUCUUGCUCUCAGGAUUGUAAUCUUGUUUUUAUUCUUUUUGCCAAGAUUACUCUAUCUUUUAGGUACACUUUUUGUAAUGCCUACCUUUCAUUCUAAUGAUAUUUACAAGUUAGCAAAAAAAAAAAAAUGAUGGUAGACAUGGUUGCACGUAUUCAGGAUAGACAAACAGAAUCUUUUGUGUUCUGUACUUCGAAUACAAAUCAAAAUUUUCACUGAACAAAGUUGAAGAAGACAUCAUCAAAUCAUGGGGACAUACUUAUCCAUGAUUUUCUAAGACGGGACUUGCUCAAACUCUAACCUUUUGUAAGAAAAAUCUCUUUAUGUAAUGAGCUCACAUUGAGUCAUCAGAAUCUUCUGAUUCACUUCUCUCCGGCUCAACUCCUGUUGGAUUACUAGUGCCUGUCUCAGGAGCUUCAGGCUUUUCAACAGGUGUAGGUGAAGAAGAAACAAUCUUAUUUUCAUUAGGAGCAUUCUCGUUUACAGCUACUUCCUCUUGCUCAUUUACCUAAGCCAAGAAAAAUGGUCAGAUGAAGGAAGUUACUAAAAUCGAUCUUUAUCCCCAAGACCAGAUGUUGUCACAUCAUGUAUUAAAGUGAAAGUAAUCUUACAUUUUCUACUGUUCCGCCACUCAAGAUAUUCAACAAGUCUCUUUCAACCCGCUGUACAAGCUCCGGCUGCAACGUUUUGGUAAUCAACAUGUUAGUUAAUAGAAAAUACUUGAGAGUUCCACAAGAUAAAGUUUCACUACGAUCAGCUACAUGUAUCAAGAUUUCAAUCACAACUUUCAAUCUAGAUAACCAGAAAUUUCCCAUUCUUUCUUUCUUUUCCUGGCUCAGGAUCACAAGUGUUAGUGAAACAUAGUUGAUGGAUUGAUGAUAAUAGCAAACGAAAAUUACAUUAAGGUCAGGCUCUCGACGAAAUCUUCUCUUUCGAGCAUCCUUCAUUGGAGGAGUUAAACCAUGUCUGUAUUCAACUGUAUUGGGUGCGGGAUCACCCGGCUCCCUAACUAUGAUCAUCUGUGUAACAAAUAGAUGCAUCCAUAUUCCUUUUAAGUCAAUUCUACAGAGCUUUACACAUAUAAACAAAAAGAUAGAUCAAGUAAAUGGAUUUUACCUGCCCGAUAUCAGCAGUUUUGACUAGUGCACAGUCAUCAUAAGUUUUAAAAGACUCAACAACAGCAGGAAGAUCAAGCAGAGAUGCCGGGAACUCUUCGUUUCCAAUCAUAAACGUACCGCUUCUCCCAUCCUCUGCAAAUUCAAUUAGCACAAAUCCUUAUAUAACAAGUUUGCUCCAGAGACAAUGUAAUUGGGUUUUCCAGACAAAAAAAGAAAAGAAAUAUGCAACAAGAAUGUCUUUUAGCUCCCCUGACAAAACAUACACAUCAUGAAGUUGGUUCAAAGGACAAUGCAAAUCGAUUUAUAGACAAACUCUAGUCCUUAAUCAGAUUCAAGAAUGAUGAAAGAAUAUGUCUUAUAACUUCUCUAACAAAACAUUCAAUUCACAAAAACAACAAUAUAAAAUUGCUAUAGGAGACAAUGCAAAUCGAUUCCUAGACAAACUUUUGAACCUUAAUCUGAUUAAAGAAUGAUACGAAAAGAAUGUCUUUCAGGCAAACAACAUCUAAGAACUCAUAACUUUCAGUACUGAGUAUAAAAAUCUAAAUCCGCGACGCAACCAUGAGACUAAUUUCCGAUGAAAGGACAAAUAUUUAAGAAAAAGGAAGAGACUUUGGAUGCUUAAACACAAAAUACUGUGCCAAAAAGAGACAAAAAAACCCCUUAAUAAAUUGGUACCUGAAAAACACAAAUCCAAAGGGAUUUCGUCGGAAGUAGAAGCCUCCUCGCUCAAAAGCCGAUCAAUUCGCUCUGAAACAGACGGUGGAACCCUAAGUAUGAACUGUUCUUCCAUCAAAAGGUAUCAACGGCUUAACUUGAGAUCUUCGCCGAAUGGAUUAUGCAGAGAGAGACGAGACGAGAAUCUAUUGAACUGUGAGAAACAUAAUUGCUUUGUUAUGUAAUGUCAGAAAUUUUUACAAGUUUAGAAGAGAGAGAAAGACAAACGUUCCAGAAUAAUCCUUUUUGUUAAUCCUAUUUUGUUUUAUUUUCCUCCCCUAUAGGUUUCAAGGUUUAUGUUUUUGACCCAAUUAGUUAUAAAGGUUCUUAAAAACACCCAAUAGUUGAAGAAACUAAAUCAUCAAUUGCCUAUAUUUAAUUCUAAUUUCUCUUCGAUAUCAUACCUUUUUGAUAUCAAUGAAUAUAAAAACAACAAAAAUUAGAAUGGACUAUCCACUUUAAAUAUAGAGUUUAAGGCAAAAACAAUAUUUGGAAAGAAUACUGGGGGUUUAAAUGUAAAACUAAAUAGUAUA